AUGACAAAUAAAUGGCGCGUUACUGUGAAGCAACUCCCAGCAAAUAGUAAGGUAAUGAUCAUACGUCUGUAAUGCAUUGUAUGUCCCAGAAUAGGUCCCAUUCUUCUACCCUUUCCGGGUAGUCGAUGGCUAUUCACAGCUACUACCUUAACACCAAAGAAGAGUUCGACCCAAUGCUUUAUUUCUGUCUUAGUGAAUCCCGAUUCGACAUUAGAAGUAUAUUGAUUCUUUCCCAAUAAACGAAGACUCUUUUCUGUAAAUACUGCGCAUUUGAUUCCAUUAUCGUAUGAUAAUACUAUAUUUUGAUUUCUAUUUGUUUAUUGUAUUAUACCUUUAUAUAUUCUAGAUAUAUAGAAUAGAAGAAUAAUUCGAACCUCCGAGUAACGGGACCAAAACCCGCUGCCUUACCACUUGGCCACGCCCCAUUUCGUUUUAUGCAACACUAAUAAACACUAGUGUUUUAAUAUAUUAUUCGUCAAUCCCACUUCAAUUACCUAAAAAAUGAGGGAUAUUUUCUUGCUAGGAUUCUAGACAUGCGGAUAAUAUAGAAUCCAAAAAAUGCAUUGAUCAUUACAUGGAAUUCUAUUAAGAUAUUAUAUGAAAGUCGAAUUUCUUCCAUUCUCAUUUGAGAAUGCGAAUACAAGGAGGUAUUUUGUGUUUGGGAAAGUCCGAAGAAAAAAGGAUUUGGAAUCCACCUUUUCUUUUGCUUUUUUCCCUUAAAUCCCAUCAAAGCUUUUUUUCACUUUUUAGCGGGAACUAUCUCAUAGUGAUUCUUUCAAGUUUGAACCGACAAAGGAAGCAACGUAUAUUCGGUGGCAGCCCGUACCAACAGUCAAGUGUUCCUACUGAACAAAGAAUGUUUUUGCUCAAGGGCAAUCCAGGGCACACUCAUCUGUACCGAAACAAUUGGAACAGACUUGUAUCUUUUUUGGGUUUUUUUUAUUGGACUUUUGGUCCCACUAUCCCUGCUUGCCAAACUGUACUGCCUAACCAUGUAAAUUGUACUUGCCAAAGAACAUUGGCUCACAGUGAUAGAGACGAAUUUCUAAGGUUAUGUUUGGAACGGAUUUAGAAAUUUUACAGGAAUACGAUUCCUUUUGUUUUGAUGACGUCACUCGCCGUUUGGAUCGAAAGCCCGUUCCUACGGAAAGGAAGCCGCUCCUUCAUAAAACGUAGCAGGAAUCAAAACAUCCACUCUGACUCAAAUUUUUCACGGAAGAGGAUUAGAGGAGUGCCAAAUGAGACGAUAAGAGUGGGUUUGUUUAGUCACGGGUAGGCAGAAGAAGGACGUGGACUCUCAUUAUUACAAUGGAUACAUAGCCAUCUUAGAUUAAAUAUGCAAUUGAAAUUUUCAACGUAGCAUUAUUUAUUUUGGUUUUUUCUUGGAUUAUCAACGUAGCUCUAUUUAUGGAAGAAGGAGACACGCAUUAAAUUAUGCUUCAAUAAUCCAAUCUGAUGCGCCGAUGAAUAGACAACUCGGUAAGAUUGGUGGUUGAAGAAAGGCUUCGGGGCUACUGGCUUGGGUGUCUCGCUUCGGCCAUCCUUGGCUGCACUGCGAGUUAUUGAUCACCUUGCCAGAGGCGCGUCUGCGUUGCGUGGUGGUUUGGUCGACGACGGCGAAGGUGCAGCCGCGACAAGCCUGUUAGUAGAGUGAGUUUGGUUAGUAGAGGGGGUUAGUAGAGUUAGUUUAGUAGAGAGAUGUCUUUGUUUGUGCGCCAAUUUGUAAGCUGGUAAUUCCAGUAGUCUGAUCAAUUAUGUCCUUAUUAAACUUUCUAAUAAAGCCGGGCGGAUACUUUGAUCGAAAAAAAAGGCUUACAAAUGCUGCAACGGGUGGAAUUUAUUCAAGUCAAAUAAGAGAGCGAAGCGAAGUAGUUGCAUGUGUUGGUGCACUUAGCUAGGAGAAAUGUCCACUCAUCGGCAGUGUGGUUGAGGCAAGUUCCUCAUCUCCAUGUAUUGCCCAACUUGUAGAAACUUGAUUGUAACUCAUCUCCUAAUAACUAAUAGAUAAAGUUCUCGUUUACCCAUAAAAAAGAAUACACAAUUCUGUAGAAAUGCCUUCCUGUAACUUCACUUGGGUCGGGAUACCGUCAUUAUUUGACCAACCUUUUUUUAGCUUUUAAACAGCAAAAAAUCUCGAAAAUUAGUAUCCCAUCCCAAAUUAGCUUUUUAGAUAUAUAAUUUUUACUAUGUAUCUAUAUGUAGCAUCACUUAUAUUAAUAAUACAACUGAAGAAUAGCCUGAAGAAGAAGAAAAAAAUGAAUCUUAUCUAGUCUCUAAUUAAAAUUGUCAGUACUCCAUCUGUCCCAAAUUAUAAGUUGUUUUAGUUUUUCUAGAUUCAUAUUCUUUUGCUAUUCACCUAGAUAUAAACCACGUUGAGAUACAUAGUAAAAACUAUGUAUCUAGGAACAUCAAAACCACUUAAAAUUUGAAACAGAGGGAGUAGGUAGUAGGAAAUGCAACUUGCAUUGGUUAAUAAAAAUUCGUCGGAGGAUGCUUCGAUGAAGCUCGUAGAUUUGGAAUGGAAUCUGCCUAAAAAACGAUUUGGAAAGGAAUCUGGCAUUAACUUUGUUGUACUCCUUUAUUAUAUGCCUAGUGUGGUUCAAGCAUAGACAAAUGUGCUAACCAUUCCAUUGUACUCGCAUGCAUAGAGUCAUAGACAAAUAGGUCGGAGACUCCAACUAAAUUUUAGUUUGUUAAACUUUAGAGUCCACAAAACCCAUCUAAUUAGGGGAACCACCGGAUCACGCAAAGUCGAAAAUACCCCCACCUUUUCCCCUUUCCCCUGCCCGCUUCUUCCCAGCGCCGCACCCAUCCCGUCCGCCCCCCGCCGCCCUCUUGUCCACCUCCGCCGCCACCCAUCCCGUCCGCCCCCGCCGCCCUCCCGUCCACCUCCGCAACCACGCCGGCGCCGUCCAUCCGCAAGCACCCACCCAUGGAUUCGUCUCGGGAGCACGAGGACGACGGGCUCAUGGACUUGUUCUCCCAGCAGCAGCAGCCCACCCUUCCACCCGGCUUGGAGUUCUUCUCCCAGUCGGAGACAUCCCUGGUGGGGCGCGGGCUGCAACCUCGGCGUGGCUCCAUGGAAGGAUUCGACCUCAAUUCGGAGAUGGAGGAGUUCCCGGAUUUAUCUUGUAAUUUUUAUUCAUGCACUUGACUUCCAUGCUCGAAUGUGAACGGCCGAGCAGCACACAAACGCGAACCAGCGAAAGCUGCGCAUGCAGAGCAGAGAGCAUAAGGCAGAGCAGCAGCAGCCGCUCAUGCAGAAAGAGAGAGCGCGCGCAAGGCAGCUGCAGCGCACGCAGAGCAGCAGCGGAGCAACAGCCAACAGUAGCACAUGCAAAGGGUAAAAUGGACUCUACAAAUCUCUUAGCUAUGUUUUAGUCCUAUAAACCAAACGGAAACGGGAUAGCUAAAGUUUAGUCAUCUAAAAACGGUAGUUUACUUUUAGCUAACUAAAUUUUAAUCCCAACUAAACUUUAAUUUUAAGCGAUCCAAUGAUCCGGGAGGAAUGUUUAUUGGGUUCGAAACAAAAUUACAAAGGGAGUCUUGAUCCGUUACUUUAUUAAUUUUUUACUAAAUUAAAUUAAUAAAAAUCCUCAUAAAUUAAAUUAUUUUGAACUUUAUUAAGUUUAGCAAAAAAAAGUCAUUAAAUUCAUUUUUUUAAUUUUUGGAACUUUAUUAAAUUAUUAAAAUUUUAAUUGCUUGAAAAAUCAUGUAUUAAUUACUGGUAGAGAUGUUGAAUGCUCCGACUGAACCGACAAGAUUCUUAGACUCCGGAGAUAGAGACUAAAAUUUAAUCCAUGUUACAUCAAAUGUUUAAAUACUAAUUAAACCAAUUGCACAAGGCGUGUUUGGAUACACCUUCCUAAAGUGUAGCACCUGUCGCAUCGAAUGUUUGGAUGCUAAUUAGAAGUAUUAAACAUAAGCUAAUUACAAAACUAAUUACACAGAUGGAGUCUAAUUCGCGAGACGAAUCUAUUAAACCUAAUUAGUCCAUGAUUUGACAAUGUGGUGCUACAGUAACCAUUUGCUAAUGAUGGAUUAAUUAGGCUUAAUAGAUUCGUCUCGCGAAUUAGCACAGGGUUCUGCAGUUAGUUUUAUAAUUAACUCAUGUUUAGUCCUCCUAAUUAGCAUCCGAACAUCCGAUAUGACACUGCUAAAGUUUAGCAGCCGGUACGCAAACACCCCUUAAAUGAAGGCUAAUUCGCGAGAUGAAUCUAAAGACUAAUUAGUCCAUGUGAUGCUACAGUAAACAUGUCCUAAUCAUGAAUUAAUUAGACUUAAUAGAUUUAUCUCGCGAAUUAACCACGGCUUAUGCAAUUAGUUUUAUAAUUAGUUCACGUUUAGUCAUUCUAUUAGUUCACGUUUAGUCAUUUUAAGGGGCUGUUUGGAUACUAGGAGCUAAAGUUUAGCUCUUGUCACAUCGAAUGUUCGGAUGCUAAUUAGGAGGACUAAAUAUGAGUUAAUUAUAAAACUAAUUGCAGAAGCCUGGAUUAAUUCGCAAGAUGAAUUUAUUAAACCUAAUUAAUCCAUUAGUAAAUGGUUACCAUAGAACCAUAUUGUCAAAGGCUUAAUAGGUUUGUCUCGUGAAUUAGCCUUCCUCUAUGCAAUUAGUUUUAUAAUUAACUUAUAUUUAAUACUUUUAAUUAGUAUCAAAUAUCUGAUGUAACGAGAGCUCAAGUUUAGUCCAGUGAGGCAGGCUCUAAUUGGUAUCGGUGUGAAAAAAAAAACUUAAGCAAAUGACGUUAAUUAAUGCGGCGACGGGCGAAUCGAAUCCUCUGACGACGAAUCGCCUCGGCCGGGAGCAGAGCACGCGAGGCAAAUCAACCCCACCGACACCCCGAGCAGCCCCCGCGGGCGGACACGUGGCGGGUGGCCCCGCUGGUGGAGGACCCGCGCGGGCCCCGCCGCGACUGGCCCUCCUGUCCUCGGGAGGCAUGCGGCAACCCCGGGCGCAUUCAAAUUUCUUCCUCCUCCUCGAUUCUCUCUCUCCUCCCCCACUCCUCGCCUCCCCGCUCGUCCACGCUUCCUCCCGUUCGGACACUUGGUCGUCGUCUCGUCCCCGACCCAGCAGAUCCGAAAGCGCCGGGGCUCGAGAGAGAGAGAGAGAGAGAGAGAGAGAGAGAGAGAGAGAGAGAGAGAGAGAGAGAGAGGGAGAGAGGGAAAGGGAGCGAGGGGGGAGGGGGGAGACGGAGAGGCGGGAGGGCGGCUGCGGGGGGUGGAGGAGAUGGCUGCGGCGAAGGAGGCGGCCGGGCCGAGCAGCGGCAGGGCGGUGCUGGUCACGGGCGGGGCGGGAUACAUCGGCAGCCACGCCGUGCUGCAGCUCCUCACCGCGGGCUUCCGCGUCGUCGUCGUCGACAGCCUCGCCAACUCCUCCGAGAUCGCGCUACGCCGCGUGCGCGCGCUCGCGGGGGACCACGCCAGAAACCUCGUCUUCCACAAGGUAAUUAAUACGACCGUAUUCUCUCUCUGUCUCCUCUCAGUGUGGCCGCGCGCUGCUCUCGAUCUCCCGUGUCGGUCUCGCGCGCCGGUUUUGGUGCUUCCGCUCGAUAUGCGGGGCGGAGGUAGAUCAGCGUGCUGCGUACUACGUGCCUUGAGUGUGCUGGUGAAUUUGGCGCGUUGGAUCAAGGGAAAUUAUUGUGCGGAAUUGGCGGGCUUUGUUCAUGGGAAAAUUCCGAUUCAGUUGGGUUUGCCCACUCUGGGGCGUCGCUUUCGGGGUGAUUUGAUUGGGAUUCGUUUAAGUCUCUGCACGUCUCUUCGUCCGCUGUUGUGGGACCUGUAGCCAAAAUUAUUAUCUUUUGUUUUGCUAGCGGUGUAUUGGUGAAGGAAUUUCUGUUUUACCUGAUAUAUACGCAGGGAUGUUGCUACGUUCCCGGAACGAGGAACGUGGCCACGUUCCACGUUCCCGGCUGCUAAGGAUUAACGCAGGUUGAUCUUGGGCUGUAGUAAAGUAUGAAUUAGUCUGGUGUGGAGAAUGUACUACGCCUGACUUCCCAUGAUUGGCUAAUUGGAUAUUGGGCUGCAGAUCGCCAGAUCCUCUUAUUCUGUGGUGAACUCUUGGAUUCUUUUACUUUUGUUUGGUCGCCUGAUAUUUUACUUGGGCACGGUAGAUGGAUGAUGGUAAGCAGUGAAAGCUUUGGUAAUUUUUAGCGUGAUUGUGAUCACUCAAAUUCACACUCUGGGUUAAUUGUGAAGUUAAGUUUGAGGUGCAGUUGUUUAGGAUCGGACUUGAUCUUAGUCAUAAAAUUUUUAAUGGCCUUUUGGGACAUACAAGCAAUAUUAUACUUUUCUGCUUCUGCAGGUUGAUAUCCGUGAAAAAGAUGGACUGGAAAAGGUUUUUGCUUCAGCAAGGUAAAGUUCACUGCAAAAUAGUAGUCAAUGUAUUUCUGUUCAUUAAUAUUACUUGUUCGAUGUUUAGCUUGUCUUCUAUGUGUAAAUGCAUCUGCGCUGAGAGCUUAUUAAUAUUAUGCUAUCGUUUUCCAGAUUUGAUGCUGUUAUUCAUUUUGCUGGACUGAAAGCUGUUGGAGAAAGUGUGCAAAAGCCAUUGCUCUAUUAUGAUCAUAAUGUUGUUGGUACAAUAAAUCUUCUGGAAAUUAUGGCAGCUCAUGGAUGUAAGAAGGUAUUUACCAUACCUAUAUCUGGGAUACCUUGUGCUCCAUGAGGAUAUUUUGUGAUCUAGUUAACUUUCUGAUACAUAUGUAUAACCACUGUUAAUGGACAUUUACUCUGUUCUAAAUUCUUAGUUAGUGCUUUCCAUGGUAGUAUAUUCCUAACAUAUCGAUAUUGCCAAUUAUUUGAAUGCUCAUACAAUAUACGAUAUCUCUUUUUUUCACAAAAAGUACAUAAUAUUCUUUGUUUUGAAAAGACUAAUGGCAAAUAUGUUUUUUAAUGCAGUGACAGACUUGUUCAUAUACACUUUUACUUAUGCGUGACAAUUUAUUAAAAAGGAAUGUUGCUGUAUGUAAUUGAUGUGCUAGACUGCUUCCGAAUGAAUACAUUGUUAACAAACACCAUCCUAUGCGGGUUUAGAUCAAGUUUUAUGAAUUGUAACAAUGCAUCCAUGCACCUACUAGACAAUGGUCACCACAUUCUUAAUUUUCGUUGUACAUCUAGGUGAUACUCUUUGCUUAAUAAUUCUGUUAACCGUAACAUUUUGUUUGAGUUUAAGCCGGUUGUUCAUUUGUUGUCCAGAUUGGGCUUAUACUGACAAUGUUAUUUUACCUUUUGUGUCCUAAUGUUGCAGUUAGUGUUCUCAUCAUCAGCUGCAGUUUAUGGAUCACCUAAGAAUUCACCGUGCACAGAAGAUUUUCCUCUCAUUCCACAUAACCCUUAUGGCAGAACCAAGGUAUGCUUCUUCAUUUCCCAUGCAUAUAUCUUUGCAUCAAACCUUUUAACUGAUUGCAGUUGUAUAUAUCUGUUGCAGCUUAUGGCUGAGGAGAUAUGCCGUGAUAUCUACCAUUCAGAUCCUGAAUGGAGUAUCAUUUUGCUUAGGUACUUCAAUCCAGUUGGGGCCCACCCCAGUGGAUAUGUUGGUGAAGACCCAUGUGGAACUCCUAACAACCUUAUGCCCUUCGUUCAGCAAAUUGCUGUUGGAAGGAGGCCAUCGCUAACAAUAUUUGGAAAUAACUACGCAACAAAGGAUGGGACAGGGGUACUUUUUUUCAUCAUCCUACUCAGUUGUUAAUUACAUCAGCAUUGCAUUUUUUUUACCCAUUUGGUCCAUUCAUGUCAUGUUCCAAUGUCACAAGAUUGUAGUUACUGAUAUUAGGUCUGUUAUAGCAUAAUCUCUUUCUGUAGAGGGCAUUUACAAAAAAUAUAAGCAGAGUGCUUAUGGCUAUUCAGUUUAAAAGCUAGAGUAGCAAAUGAAAUAUGCAGUCCACUAGUAUUUAUCAGAAUAUAAGUUCUUGGAAGCAAAUAACUGAAGUGAAAGGUAGGAUACUAGUAAUAACAUUAGGAGCACCCAGCGCCUUUUGCAGGUUACAGUAAAAGAAUUUGCCCCCGUCUUUGCUGAACAAUACUAUUAGGCCCCUAAUGCCUGGUUUACAGAAAAAGGAUCAAAUGAAGAGGGAACACUAACUAACCCAUAGUUUACUUUAAAGAUAGGCACUCAUGCUGACAUGGUUAUCUCAUUCGUUGCAGCCAAUUAGCUUCACCUUUCCAAUCUAAUGCGUGUAGCAUUUACUUUUCAAAGUGCAGUUGAAAGUGGACAAUAUCAUGGCCAAAUGGCAACGAAGCUUGUUUAGGCAUACUGUUGUGAGAACUGCAGUAAUAUGUCAUUGAACAUUCCCAUGUACUGACAGAACUUCUGCAUGAUUGCAGGUUCGUGAUUAUAUACAUGUGGUUGACCUUGCUGAAGGACAUCUUUUCGCAUUACGAAAACUUUUUGAAAGCUCAUCUAACAUAGGUUUGCUCAAAUGGUUGCCCUCUCCUAUCCUUUAGCCAAAAUGCUUAUAGAACUUCCCAGAUGUACACUAAAGAUGUAAAUAAUGGCCUCCUUUUGUUUCCCAUUCGCACUAUCUAUUUUCGGGUCAAAAACUAAACAGUAAUGUAUCACUAAAAAGUUUUCUUAUGCUUCUAAAUGUAUAGAAAACUAUAUCCGUUUCAUAUGAUGCUUUAACUUUUAUGUCAAACCCUAGUUACUUCUACAUAUGAGUUAAUUGGAUACUCACAAAACAAAACCUUCAGUAAGUUUUGUGGUUGAUCUGGUUCCAAAAUGAAACUCUUCUUGCAGGAUGUGAAGCAUACAACCUUGGAACUGGAAAGGGAACUUCAGUAUUGGAGAUAGUCAAUGCAUUUGAGAAGGCUUCUGGAAAGGUAAUACCUGAUUAGAUAUACCUUGAGUAUUGGACAAAUCUCUGGCUCCUGUUUCUUGCCAUGAUAUCUUUUUACUGGUUAUCGGAACUACUUUUCCCAAACCUCCACUCUCCUGAAUUUUAGUGUCAUAAAAGCAAAUCCUUGAAUUUAUCCAGCGGAUCAUGUAGAAUUUAGAGGCUGAUAAUGAUAAUUAAGACUAUGUGACAGUUCACAACGAGAACAUAGAAAUUUGUGCAGGUUGAUUCUUGGAAUAGGCAGUUGCUAUUUAAUCCAAAGAGUUAACCCUGCUGCCAAGUUUCAACAGUAGCAAUAGUUGCAUUUUUUUGGUGUGAGUGACUUAUAUCUUAUCUGUACUUGUUUCCUUUUAGAAAAUCCCUUUGGUCAUGGGUCAACGCCGCCCUGGUGAUGCUGAGAUUCUCUUUUCAUCGCCUGCAAAAGCAGAGAGAGAGCUCCACUGGAAGUAAGAUAAAAAAUACCGUUUACAAGUUUUCAUGAAUGGAAACCAUUUGUUUGGUCAUUUAAUAUGAACGUUCCUUCUUCAGAGCGAAAUACGGCAUCACAGAAAUGUGCAGAGACCUGUGGAACUGGGCUAGCAAGCACCCCUAUGGAUAUGCAGCAUCCGAGUCUCCCAAGCUGAAUGGCAGUUCACGCUGAGCAACACCGUUUGUUCCAUGUGGACUAUUACUUGUACAUGCGACGUAGUGCCAACCAGGAUAAAUGUAGAUCUAUUCGGUCAGUCAUACAGAGAAAAGUUCUAUAGGCUUAGGAAACAAUGUUAUCUUGUUCCUCCCUAGCAUAAAUGCUCCUAUAAAUGGAUCCUCCAUAUGCGUAUAGUUUGUCAAACUUUUUCUAGGAGCAUUGAUAGUCAGUCAGCUAAUUCAAUUCUUCUACUGCUAAUUGAGUUGUGUUGCCUUAAACAGAGCAUGAUAUAGAUUUCAGCAUCACAAAAUAAUUUGCAGCUUAUACGAUUUUUUUGUUGUAUCUGUAAUGUCUUCUUUGCGACGAUUGUAUCUGUAAUAUUAGUGAGUUGAACCACAGUAAUACAUCGAUUUAACUCUUAUCAGUAUUAUAGUUUCAUCACAUUCCAAUGGGCCGUUGGAGUAAAAAAAGUUGCCUAUGUCAAAACCCUAGCCUGUGUAAUUUCUGCGCCGAAAAUGCAGUUGAGCAAUACUUGAGAUUGCCAUUGUUUCCCUUAUUGUUUCACUUUAUAUCCUCAUUAAAGCUAGCUAUUCACAUUAUUUAACCAUGGUUGCUGGUUUUUUUUGUUGCUUAAUACUCCAUGCAACCAGGCUUCUCGUAGAUUGUAAUUUAUGAUCGAUAAUAGAUUGCCUAGGGUCUUCUUGUAGUCAUGGUGAUUAGAAUUGCAUGCACUUCGUUCCAAAGAAAAAAAAGAGAAUUGCAUGCACUUCCUUACUGAAGAUUUAAUACAAAACUGAAAUUUCCUAGUCCACCUAAGAAAAUAUAUAGUGCAUCUCCAAAGUUUCAUCAUCUUAUCUACGUGCUCAGAAGCAUUACCAUCUACUCUGCUAUCGUUCACACUCAAGGAUAUGUUCAUUGAAUCAUACACCCAAGCUAGUCAAUUCCUGCAAAUUAUGCAUGAUAUCAAGAGUCAAGUGGUGUUCAAAAGCAAAAAAUAAUGAUGUUAUAAUCAAUGUUCUGACAACCUAUCUAUAAAGAGUUGAUAAGAACAUUCUACAUUCUCCCUCCAAUGUUGGGGAGCGCAUUGACAGAUAGCAAUGGCUGAAGAGCAGACAUGUUGGUUUGCUGCAUGUGAGCAUGGAGACGGCCUUGGUACAUGUGUUGGUCAUCAGAAGCUCUAGCAAAUUCUACACUACGUUGUAGUCUUGGAUCAAUAUACAAUAGUUUUGCAAGGCCCUUUUCAAGCAUCCCCUUCUCUAUCUCAACGAAGACAAAUCUGAAAUAUGAUCCAGAGAAAACAAUAUAAUCAUUAAAGACAAGUGGGUCUGUAACAGCUACUGCACCAUAAAUCCAUGUUGUGUGCUUGUUAGAAGAAAGGAUAAAUGGGUUAAUGUAGAAGAACAAUGGUUGAGUGGUUACUUUGAUUCAGGAAAACAGUCAUCUUCUUUUGAGUUGUCCACUUUCCAGCGAGUAAACUUUCCAGGAAGUGGCUUAUCAGUGGAGAAAUAUUGGAGUGAAGAUCUUGCCUGCAUGAUUGACUCAUUCAGUUCUUGUAUUGACACUAAAGAGGAUCAAUAUUAAUUUUCUCAGGGAAUAAAAAUCCACACCUCUAUUCUCAAGGUAUCAAAUCUUAUAUCGUCAAAACAGACAAGGAGAGAUGUGAUGUCGGAAAAGGGGAUAUCAACCCUUCUAAUCAGCUUUUCAUAGCACAACUUGCACACGACUAGCUGUGUUACGUAGCAGAAAGAAGCGAGUAUGUUGCAAUCACCCUUACGAAUGAACUACAUGCAUAGGUUCAGAGGCAUGAAAGAGCAUAUUAUUACACUGAUCUUGAAAAGAAUUAAGCUCAUAACAGGAAAAAUUCUGAACACAUAUACCUUCUUGUUGCCGAUUGUAAGUGUCAGCAGAGGCAGCUCUGUCGAAACUCUCUUGCAAUUCUUAGUACUUGUAAGCUGAUUCUGUGCAGCUGUGAGCUCCUCAUAUUUGAUCCUAUCAUUAUAUUCGCUUUGAAAAAAAGCAUUCCUGUCCCGAGCCAGCAUGAGCCUAAUGCAAGUCAGAAAGGAGCCGCUUAUUUCGAGAUUCAGACAUUGAGUUGGCUGGCGAUCUGUCUUAUCAUCUUCAUUGUCCUCUCCCUACAUAUCAAAAUUACAAAUCUUAAUCGAGGAGGAGAAACCAGACUAGUCCCACAAAAUUCGUUCAAAAAAAAUGAAACGGGAACAGGCACAAUAAAUUUAAGGAAGCCAUAAGGGCAAAGAACCUGAUCUACUUGCAUGUAAUAGGCACCACUGCCCAGCUGCUCAGAGAUUCUCAUUGUGAGCCUAGCAGAAUCCAAAUCUUCUCAAGUCAGAUAUCUCUGAAACAAACUGGAUGGUAACCAAAUAAGCAUAUGUAAAACUGAAAGAAGUUAUACAGAGCAUGAUCAUAGCUUGUUACACCCGGUUUUAAAAGCAAAACCAGAUGAUAAAUUACAUGUGCGCCAGGAUCAAGUUUCACACAUGCAACGACUUUAGUAAAUACCAUAAACAGUGCCAAAGCGUAAAUAGAGUAUUAAAAGCAAAACCAGAUGAUAAAUUACAUGUGCGCUGGGAUCAAGUUUCACACAUGCAACGACUUCAGUAAAUACCAUAAAUAAUGCCAAAGCGUAAAUAGAGUAUUAAAUUUAUUACAUAACUGAAAGUCUUUAAAUCGAAUAGCAAAACAAGUCUUUAUUCUAGCAGUAGAACUCCAACGAUAACGACGACUCCACAAGCAGUUGACUAGUGGCACACGUAUGCUUAGAAUUCUUCAAAAUCUUCAGGAAUCUUCUCAAAGUAGUCUUGGUCUAAGCAGCUGUUUUAGCAAGGGUGAGUACACUUAUGGUUGGUACUUAACAAGCGUGGGGAAUGUGUAAUGUAAAGCUAUGUAAGGAUAGGCUAUGGUUUAACAGCAUGUCAAUAUUUUAAUUGGUUGGUCAAGUUUUAUUAGCAAUUACUAAGUAAAAUUUUAUACCACCCACAUUAAGCAUGAACAUAAAUAAAUAAAAUAGCAAUAAAUAACAUAAAUAACAGCAAUUUAAUUCAACAUCUGAUAGAUUAAUCAUGUGAGGUUCCAGGCCGCUCUUGACCGUGAGCACAGCUGAUCGAUCAGUUUUAGACACUCUGCAGAGGUUGUACCACUUUCACCACAAGUCAUGUCUCCCAUGUCGCCCGGGUUUGUAAGGCCCUUAAACACUUACAAGGUGAGUAGCUAGGGUGCACUACGAGGCCUUUACAAAGACCCCCUAGCAAGGAUAGCUCGAUAAGGUUUCAUGAUCAGAGCAAUGCAUAAACCUCCCUUAAGACUGCAAAGCUACCAUAAAGCAAAUCAGCUUGAGGGUCGGGUUAUACACUGUCACUGUCUCCCCUUCUUGCCCUUUUGGUAAAGCUACAACAUACUAACGUUUCUAAUUAAUUAGCCAAGCCAGAGCCAUAUAGUCUUACGGUUGCACUGUUUUCCUAGGUGGUUCUCCAUGUUCCAAUUAAGCAUGAUGAUCUUGUAUUAAUGAAAGGUAUAGCAUAAAUAAAACAAGUUUAAUCAUUGAGUUCAUUAAUACCAUCAUAUGUAAUUAGAGAAACUAAGCAACAACUACCCAACAUAAGUGAACCCAGGUUGAUCAAGGCACAAGGAUAAAACUAGGCACAACUUAGAUAGGACCCAUCAUAUUUAUAAGCAUAAAGUGCAUAACAUGUGUAUAUUGAACAUAAAAGUAAAUGUUGCUUAGGUUCAAAUUGUGAUCAAGGACACCACUUGCCUUCCUAAACUGGUUCUUGCUGCUCAAAGUUUUCAGAGGCUUAGUCUUCGAAUUCCUUGAACUGCGAUCCUUCUAUGCGCAUCAAUCAAGUACAUACAAGCAAACAAAACGCUAAAAUAAGAAAACAAUACACCAAACGGUAGCAAUAGAGCAAAACAAGAUCAUAAAGCUAUUCCAUGCAUUAACACGAACUCAUAGACGCAAGAAUCGCUUAAAACAGAGCUAAAACGCUAAAGAUAUGAGCUAAACAAGGUAUAGGGAUUUAUCUGCGAGAAAACUUAACUUCAAGGGGCUAAAUUAUAAAAAACCGAGGGGGAAAACCUACUUAUGCGUAUAAGCUGAAGGUCUAACGAGUAAAAGAGCUAAACAGGACGGCGGGCGCAAAAACUAUAAAGAACGGAGGCUAAAAUAGAAAGAAAAGGACUAAAAUCUAAUUACUUUUGAUCUGAUCUAGCUUCGGGUGAAAAAACUCAGAAAUGUGGGAGCUUUAUUGCAUAAACGGCACGCAUCGGGUGACCGGUUUGACCCGGCGUCGGAUUUAGUCGUAUCACUUCGGAUAUUUAGAUAUUAAUUAGGAGUAUUAAAUAUAAUUUAAUUGUAAAACUAAGAUGAAUCCAUUAAGACUAAUUAGUUCAUAAUUUAACAAUAUGAUACUAAAAUAAUCAUCUAUUAAUAAUAAAUUACUUAGACUUAAUAGAUUUGUCUCACAAAUUAGUUUAGAGAUUCUGCAAUUAAUUAAUUAACUAUCCGAACAUCCGGCUAAAAUAGCCUCGGAUAUCCAGACACCACCUCAAUCUGAUCCGUCCAUCGGACGGCGGCGGCUAGCUGUGGGACGGCGGCGGUUUCGCUGGAGUUUGCUCGAAAUCGAGCUUCCGGCCACCAAAGACGACGGGAACUGGCUUGGGAGCGAGCUGGGGGCACGGAGAACGCAUCUAGGAUGUUCUUGCGGCGGAUUGCGCGGCGGCGAGGGCGCCAUGCCCGGCGAGGCGGCUCGGCGGCGGCAGUUCCCACUCCGGCGAGCUGACGCAAGCGGAGGGCGGCACGAGAGCGCACGGGACCUGGAUGGAUGGCUUCCUUACCUCCUCACCUUACUCCGGAGACCGGAGCGGCUUCUCGUCGACAGGGAGGCGGGGAGGCGGGAGAUCGACGGCGGCGGGCUCAAGCUAGGUUUCGAGCUCGGGCGGGCGGCGCUAGGGCUUAAGAUUUGGCGAAAAGAGGUCAGGGGAGGCGGUGGCUCAGGCUUUAAAGGGGGCGACGAACCUCGGUUGGCGCGACGCGAAACGGAGGCGGAUCGAGGGUGCGGCUGGGGAAUCCGGCUCGGGUUUGAGUUUGGGAGGUGAGGGAUGACACGCGGGGCCCCCGCGUCAGUGGCAAGAGGUGGAGGCGGGAGCUGGGCCAUCGAGGCAUCGAGCGAGGCCGGCGCGGUGGAAGCGGGGAGCUGGACUGGCCUGGCGGGCCGCUGCGGUGAGCCGGGCCGGUGGCCGGCGGGCUGCUGAUGCAAGCUAUUACCGGACUAGAAGAAGAAAGAAGAGAGUAUGCCACUGGACUUUAUAUCAUUUCCGUACGUGCCAUCAAAAUUCCUGCGUUCCUUUGUAUGCCAUUGGAUAAAAUUUCAUGCCCCAGUCCGUUUAGCUGUUAGCAUGCUGUGAAGUUGGAGUUGAAUAGACCUUUUUGCCCUCGCAGUGAGAUGAAGCAAAAAAUCACUGGUUCCCUUCAUUGCCAUUGCAUUCUUAUAAUGGUUGACAUAUCAAGCAUUGAUCUGGACAGAUCAUCAAAACAUAUAGAGGUCAAACAUAUAUACAUGAGAAAAAAAUUUGAAGUAUAACUGCUCGGUACAAACAAUCUGGUCACGAAUGAUUUGCAUAUGAAGCCCGCAUGCUCUUAGCCUCUCCUAUCACCGUGCGCUCGCGUUCGCAGCUCGAGCCCCCGUGCCAACGUUGCCCCAGCCCCCCAGCAGCCAGCGCGGCUCGUCCAAGAGCCAAGGUGCACUCACGGGAGGCGCAUGAGCCAUGCGCUCGCCGCCCAGGCUAGCGUCCAGCCCUGUGCCGAGGUUGCCCCGGCGCGGCUUGCCCAAGGGGCACGGGAGGUACAGCCGUACAGGAGCUGCGCGCCCUGCCGCCCAGGCUCGCGUCCAGACCUGGCCGCCGUCGCCUCUUCGUACCUUCCUGUACUCGCUCACCGCCUGGCCGCUGCUAGGUCCAGGAGAAAGUGAGGAUGUGGAUCUAGUCGGGUUGCCCUGUCUGGAUGGGAUUUUGGCCAUCCAGUGGGCCUAUAUCAACAAUAGAAAUUAUAGAAUGAAGUGCAAAUCUAGCAUUACACAUAAAAUGUGACGGCAACAUUAGCACCUAACGGUGAAAACUUACCUUCAUUCCUGUAGGAGGGGUAAAAUCAUCUUUUACAGAGCAAUUUCACAGCAAUGUAACGCCUUAGUGACGGCAGUGGCAUAGAGGGGAUUGGAAAUUUGGCACACAAGGGAACUAACGAAUUUCAGUGGCACACAAGGGAUUGGACCAAUUUUCAAUGGCAUAGAAAGAAUUAGCUCGGGAAGAUUGGUCAAGGGAGAAGAAGGCCCAAGCUAGAAGAAACCAUGCUGGAAGAAGAAAGAAGGAAGGAGAAAGAGAAAACGAAAAAGCUUUGCUAAUUUAAAACAGAUUCAAACAAAUUGAAUUGAAAUUUGAAAUCUGAACUCAACAAACCAAAAGCAAUGCACCAGCAACAAUGAAAUCCUAUGAUUCAUUAAUUAAAUUUCAGAAAAAUAUUUAAAUGCCUAGGAAUUUAAAUGCAACCUUAAAAGACCUUAAAUCCUUAAACAAGCUCAAAUAAAUUCUAGAAAUUCUAAUAAAUUUUAUUCAGUUGCAAAAUUGGAAAAUUAGGGUGUUACAUAGCUUUUCCUAACGAUAAUUAUGAUCCUUUGACAAAAACCUGUCAUUAUGUUAACAUGUAAAGUCAUGCUUUAGAAACAUUUUGGUCUUCAUGUUUGUGUUCCUCCAUUUUUUUCAAAAUUAAAAUCAUGGGGCAGGGUCGUGCAAGAAAUGGAAAUGAACUGCUAUAACUAAGAAACCAUGACAUUGGGCGGGCAAGUCGUCGAUAUGAAAGGCUUGAGAACACUGAUCAUCCUCAUGUUGUGGGAGAUAUGGAAGGAGUGCAAUGCACGGAUUUUCCAACACCAGGAAUAAUCACUCAACCGAUUAGUGGACAAGAUAAAAGAGGAGGCAAAUACAUGGAUUGCGGCAGGGGCUAAACACCUAGGGCGGUUAAUAGAGGUCGUGAGGUGUGCUUAAUUGUACAUUGUAUCCCCCUGUCCCCUUUCCCUUAGGUCCUAGCCAGGGAUGUGAGCGUACAUAACUUCAUUUGUUUUGCCCCGUCGGGCUUUCCCCUUUAUUAAUAUAGCAGUAGCUCUCCUGCCGGCUCUUUUCAAAAAUAAGAAACCAUGACAUGGAAAAGCAAGUAGGAUGGCAAUACUAAUAUUCAUCCACACCAACACAAACAACAACGAUCUCGAACCAGUUACUCAUUACUCACAUCACAGGAAAUAGAAGAUAUCGCAGAACAAAUCUAGCUCGCAGAGAACAAUCCAACAAGAAAGGUAGAGAUAUGCCUUACCCAGAACCUAAGAAAUCGAACUGAGCCAUGCACAGGGAAGGAGAACGAAAGCAACGAGGCGGAGAAGAACAUGGUGCGCAGUGAGGUUGUUGGCUUUGGUAGUGGAAGGUGGCAUGGGUGGCUCAGCUCGCGCGUGCCUGUUCGGUGUGGCGGUUGUCGAGGGAAGGGGAAGACGAAGGAAAAAAGUCUUGGUACACAUGCUGCAGACAGACUCGGGCCGGGCCGCCAGUCUGGAUUGUAACGGCGUGAGAAACCAGGUGCCCGCGAAGCAGUCGGGUCGGAGGCUCGGAGCUGCGGCGUCCUCUCGUUGAUCGAGUUGGCUGUUAGAGAGUCGACUUGCUCGUUUCUAGACUGUUGGCCGUUAGAGACUUGACUUCCUCGUUUGUAGACCUGGGAUUGGACUAGGAUCAUGCCCAUGCGUUAUUCUUUCCAUAAAUAUUAAUUUUCAUUGUAUAAAUUUUUUGUAACAACAUGUAUAAUAGAAGCAUUCACUUUAUUUUAGAUAGAAGAUAGAAGUACAAAUAACUGUCAAAAAAUAGAAUGACUACCUAGCUAUUUGAACACUUGGUAACAGAUUCUUUCUUUUGCUGGUUUCAUGUAAUCUUUCUGUCAGACAACUAUCAUCUUACUUCCACCACCCAGACGCUUGCAGAGCAAGCUCCAUGCUGGCGUGCUGCUAGCAGCUAGCGGCAACCUCCUUUGCUGCCACUUCCCGUCAUCAACGUCUCCAUCAACACGACCACCAUCCCUCACACUGCCAACUGACCAUCCAUCCAACCAGUCAAUAAUGUAACAGUUCAAGGAAAAGAAAAUGAUGUCAAUAUAAAAUCAUAUGUUAGGAUAAGAGGCCUCAUCAUAUUACUACAUACCUUCAGGAAAACCUAUCAAUGAACAAGUACAAUAUGCUAUCGAUAUUGGUAAUUGGAUGGCACAAAACAGAUUAUAUACUUAUUUUAGUUUUCAUACAAGACCUAGAACAUACAAUAAUACUCUAUCCAUUCUUAAAUUGUGACCCUAUUGACUUUUUCUCCAAUUUAAACAACAAUAUCUAUUUAAUGAAUUAGUUAAUAAAUAAAGUAAAAUGAGUUCCAUUAUAUCUAUUGUUAAAAGUAUUUUAGAUUAAAUUUGUAGAUUUAUCUAUUUGUAAAAAUAUUUGUAGAAAAUAUGAAUAAUCAAAUGAAUAAAGAAAAGGUUAAUGGUGUUAUAUAUUAAGAACGGAGGUAGCUCGUGAUAAUCGAUAAGAUAAGUAGAACCCCUUUGCAAAUAUAUUUUUCUAAAGAAAAAAAGACCUUUGGCAUUUCCCGAUUUCUCCGGGUAGAACUGCUAUCACCGACGAUAUUCAUUAUGGCAACCAUCGCCGCCGCCGCCGCCGCUCGCUGCAACUCCCCAGCCCGCCGCCAGCUUCUCACUCGCCGCUGCCUCCCGUUCUCCGUUUCCUUCUCCUCCGCCACGCCGCCCGCCGCCGCGGCGGGCUUCGGCUGGGCCGAUGCUCUCCGCGUCGCCGGCGACGGCGGGCGCGGCGACGAGUCCGACCUAUCCGGGUACUUCCGGAAGGUCGACACCUGCAACCGGGGAAUGGUGAGUUCCUCUCGUGCUCUCACGCGUGUUCGCGCAACUGUAUGCGUAUGCUGUGCGAAGGCCUCAUAUGUGGCUGUGCGGAUUUGCGUGGCGAUUUUACAGGACAAAAGGGGGGAGUUCGUGAAGUUCUUGGUGGAGGAUCAAGUCGUGGGAUACAUCCACAAGGGGUGAGUGUAAUUUCUACUUUGAAACUUUGUAUACCCAUAUCAUCUCAGAAGAAAUAUUUCUGCCCAUGUUUUCUUUUUGAGUCUGGGUAUGUGAUUUAGGUGAGCAACUUAAAUAUUUAUUUACUUAAUGAUCGCGUAUCAGUGUAUAAUAUUUAACAUAUAAGAGGCAUUGAGAUUAUGUAUGGUACUGAAGAACUUCAAUGUUUAGUAUGUGAUCAACCAAGGAAAUUUAGGUGAAAGGGAGGAAGAUAAAAGAAAGAAAGGCAAAUGACAUAAUCUACUUUUUUUUUGAGCUGAGUUGACAACAUGGCUAAAAUCCAGCCCAGUGUGUUGCAACAUCCUUCUUCAGAAUGGAGCCGGUCGGUUGUGGUUUGCUUUACCCCUAUAUUCUUCAGGACAUCAUGGCUGCACUCCUUCAUAUCUAGAGCACAAGGUGCAGGCACGGUGGCGAGGACAAGUUGGGCCACGGGAAGAUGUGAAUAGUGCUGGUGGAGGGUGAGGGUUGAUGACACAGUAGAGAUCUUGUGGGUGGCAGGGGCAUUGGAGCUUUGGAUUUGUGUGCUUGAGCUUAGGUUGAUAGAGGAAGAAAGGUCAGGUUGAGAGAAAUGGCAUUGGCAAAAUUUGUCCGAGUUAAUGUCAGUGUGGUUAAACUUGAAGGAAAUAGUACAAAAAGGCUGAACUUUUGCUGUAUCAAAGUGCACCAGUUUCUUUUUAUGAUAACUAAAGUCAUCUUUAACUGGCAUGUAAGCGAUUUUUCCUAAAAAUAAACAAUCUCCAAACAUAAUCAUUGUGAUCUAGGCAUAAGUUGCACACAAGUCCAGCAAAUGGUACAUUGUUAUACCGAUGUAGGGGGCUAAGUUUUGCUUAUCGGGACUUGGAAUUCAGAUAGACAAGUCACAGGGGCGUUUACGAGCAUACUGAACUUCUGGUCAAAAUUACAUCGUUCAUGUGCACUUAAAGGCCAGAUUCUUCCUACGAGGUGUCUAAAAUAGCGAUGCUAUUUUCAGAUUUGUUGAGCACCUCCGAGACUUCCAUGAUGUGUUUACCAUUGUCUCGGGCAACAAUGGCAGCAACACUCUGGAAAAUGUGUCUCUCCGGUCAUCGCUUAGGACGCCAGAGGAAAGAACAAAUGCUAUUGGAGAUGUCAUAAAAAACCUUGGAGAAUUGAUUCCAGGUAUUCGGAAUGAGGUACUUAAGUAUUCAACUGUUUUGUGAAAUAAUUCAGUUGAAUUUGUUGAUUUUUCAACUUGUCUGAAAUUUGGAAAUAGUUAUUUUUCCAUUCGUACUUGUCAAUUUAACUACAGUAGCAAAUCAUUUGCAUAGCUGAAUAAAUUAAUACUGAAAAUACUAAUAGCCAUAUAAACUAAUGGUUUGUGAACACAUUGUUAUGUGUUAGUCAGCCUUGUAAAGAUAAAUGUAUUUUGAACUUAUUCUUGCUUCUUCUGCUGGGGUUAAAAGACUUGUUUGCUGGUGAUAGUAGUUGUUUGGGAUGAUCUAUGUCUAUGCCUCAUUCAUUCUUCAUCACCAAUGCACCACAAGCUGGCAUUUUUGUCAAAGCAACAACUAAAUUUCUUCAAAACAAGUUGUGGGUAUUUUUUUUGUCAUAUCGCUGGCUCUGUAUCUAUUUUUACUGAUGCUUUUACCUUCAGAGAAUGUUUUACUUGUAGUCACUUUAUACAUGAAAAUUCAACUCUAGUUUCAUAUAUGUUUUUAGUUUAUUGUUCUGAUAAUGUUUUGCAAUCUAACAGCUCUACCCAGUAACAUCAUCUUAUGGCAUGCCUGUGUACUUCUCUCUGGAACGUGCUGCUGCUCCCUACUUUGGUAUAAAGGUAUGUUGUUCUUGUAUUGCAUUCUUUAUGAAUAUGUGUUUGCCAAAUAUUGUACACCUCUAAUGGUGCUAUCCGAGUGCUAAUCUUGUCCCCAUGUGCCCCAAAUUUACUCUCUUUGUUUAUGUCUAUAUAUGGUAGCUAUUCUCCUCCCUCAAUUUGUAACAGUUAGAUACUUGUCAUUUGUCAAUGAUGUUAUAUUCAUGACAGGCUUACGGAGUUCAUAUGAAUGGAUAUGUUGAGAAAGAUGGUCAGAAAUUUCUUUGGAUUGGUAAGAGAAGUGAUGUGAAGCAAACAUAUCCGGGAAUGCUUGAUCAUCUUGUUGCUGGUGGCCUGGUGUGCAUUCCCAUUCUUCUCUUGAAUUUUUUUUGUUUACCUUAUUAACAAAAAAUAUUUGCUGCUACAGACGGGUCAAUAAAUUAUGAAUUAUUUCCAGCCUUGUCUAUGUGCACCAUAUGACCAUUGAUGCCAUUUUCAUUCUAAAACUGUUCAACUGGAUUCUGUAUAAUUCUGAUGAUGGCAUUUCGAAGCUCCUAUUAGAGAAUGUUCAACCAUAAAUUAAUAAACGCACAUCAUUCAUGUAUUCCUUUCCAUUCCCUAGAGAUCUGAAUUUGCUCCAGUCAAGCGACAUAGGGAGUUUUCUCUGCGUUGUUAAUCUGUAUACGGACGUAUGUACACCUGGUGUUUUGUAAAACAAAUAUGUAGUGAACUCUUAUUAGUAAUUUUCAGCUCUUUUGGACAUUCUGAAAUAAUAGUUAAUUUUCAUGUAUACUUUUCUAGCCUGUAAUCAUUUCCUGGUCAUGCUAGGCGUAAAUGAAUUUUGGACCAAAGUACCUGCUUGGUCUAACAUACGGACUUUAGAGGAAAGAAGACAAACGGUCUUACUGGGAUUUAUUUUUCAUACAUGCUAUUAAAAUUUUCACAUUAUGUCAAUCUAAAAUGAACAUAAUGGACAAAAGGGGCAGAGUUUUAGACAGCUUUCCUGUACAUAUUUAGAUGGGAACAAUCAGGAUGUGAUUAUUUAAAGUUAGGCUGCAUGGCGAGGUGAAAUAUGGAUUGUUUGUUGAUUUUUGCUGAUAAGAUUUAACAUAUUCUGAAUGAAAAGCUGUAAGCUGAUCUUAAAUAACUUAACUAGCAUCUUAUUGCUCCUUUUUCUUUCCAUGUUCCUCUCAUGUAGAAGUAGAACUCAGUAUCUGUUAGCUUAUGUUAUCUCCACUUGGAAAUUUUUAGCCAUAUGGAAUCUCAUGCAAAGAGAACAUCAUCAAGGAAUGUGAAGAGGAAGCUGGAAUUCCAAGAUCCGUAUCAACCAAGUAACAUGGCUAACUUUUAUCUUAGAAAUUGCUGCUUCCAUUUGUGACUCUUGUGUUGGUGUAUGGUGUAUGUGUGUAUUAUGGCCCAAUAAGGCCCAUGUAUGACUGCUAUAUAGCUACCCACUGGGGUUAGCCCAAUAGAUAAGGUUUUAUCCUCUAAUAUGGUAUCAGCCUAGGUUAGGGUUUCCUGGCGCCGCUGAUGACGCCGCCGCCGCCGCCGCCACCGCCAGCCGGCGCCAUGGCCGGCGACCCCCUUCCCCCUCCUCUCUCCUCCUUCCCCUCCCUCCCUUCUUCCUGGGCCCAAAUCGCCUCGGGGAGGCUUCCCGCGGGUGCGGCCGCCGCCCCGGCGGCGCUGGCCGCCGUCGCCGGGCUCCCUGCGGGCCACGCCGACGCGGGCCACGCCGGGGACGCCGCCGCCGCCGCCGCGGCCCUCCGCGCGGGCGCCGGCGGGCGCGCGGACGGGGACCCAGCCGGCGCGGACCACGCCGCUGCCGCCGCCGCCGCCGCUGCGGCCCUCCGCGCGGGCGCGCGGGCGUGGAUCCCGCCGGCAGGGCUCCCACCGCGGCAGCCGCUCUACGCCAGGGGGCGUGCGGCCCGGCAGCUGCUCUCUGCCAGGCAGCGGGUGGCCAUGCGGGUGCCGAUCUGGGCGCUCCUGUUGCUGCCACGGGCGCCGGGGGAGGGCCUGCUCGGCUGCCUUUCCCUGCCCCGCCUCCUCCAGAUGUGACCCUCGCGGCGGCCCUCGUUGCUGCCCGGGCCGCUGCUGCCGAGGGCCAGGCAUGCUUGCGCGCGGCCGCCCUGACCUGGGAGCGCGAGCGUGAUGCGGCCGACGUCUUGGCCCGUCAGAUCGCUGAGGCCGAGCAGCUCCUCGCCCACCCGGUGUCCUACGACAGCACUGCCACCUCCUCCGGUUCCGGCGCUCCCCGUCCUCCUUUGGUUGUCUGGACCGACCCGGCCGAUCCCCUCGUCGCGCAGCUCCAUUACCAGGCCGGGGGUGUUCAGAACAUCAAGAGCCUGGUCCCCGUCGUCCUCGACCUUGAGUCGCCCUCCUACGCCCGCUGGCGGGACAUGGUGCUGCUCAUUCUUCGCCGCUACGCCCUCGACGACCAUGUCCUCGUCGACACCUUCCCUGCGGCCCGGACAGCUACGUGGCUUCGCCUCGACAGCAUCGUCCUGUCGUGGAUCCUGGGCACCAUCUCCCUCGACCUCCACGACCUCGUCCGCGGCACCCCCGACACCACCGCCCGCUGGGCCUGGCUGGCGCUCGAGGGCCAGUUCCUGGGCAACGCCGAAGCCCGGGCUCUUCGUCUCGACGCCAGCUUCCGCACUUUCGUCCAGGGCGACCUCUCCGUUGGCGAGUUCUGCCGGAAGAUGAAGACCAUGGCGGACUCCCUCGGUGACCUUGGCUGGGCCGUGGAGGACCGGAUCUUGGUUCUCAACGUUCUUCGCGGCCUCAACGAGCGCUACGCCCACCUCCGCACCUGGAUCACCCGGCAGCGGCCCUUCCCCACCUUCCUGCAGGUCCGUGAUGACCUUGUCAUGGAGGAGCUUACUCAGGGCAUCCAGCCUGGGUCCCUUCCUGCGCCGGGCUCCGCGUCUUCCUCGACCGCUCUUGCUGUGACUCCACCGCCACGACCCUCCGCUUCGCCACCGUCGUCCCUUCUUGGUCCUCCUCCUCUUGGGCUGAGCGGGGGUGGGGGGGGGGGGGGGGGGGGGCCGUGGCGGCCGCCGUCGCCGCGGUGCGGGGCGUAGUGGGGGGCGCGGUGGGGGCACUCCGGCGGGCACACCGGCGUCUCCACGGGGCUCUCCCUGGCCGUCCUUUGCCAACCCAUGGUCAGGGCGCAUCUCUAUGUGGCCCUUCCAGGCCACCGGAGGCGAGCCUCGUCCUCCGACCGCCAUGCUCGCUGGCGCUGUCCCGGCUGCUCCGUUUGCGUCGCCGUGGGCCCCACCUCCCGGGGCCUCGCCUGGGCCUGUCGGGUGGGACCCGACAGCCUUGGCACGCUCCUUCGGCACCAUGGCCCUGACUCCUCCAGUCGGUCAGGACUGGAUCGCCGACUCGGGUGCCACUUUCCAUACUACACCCGACCCUGGUAUCCUCUCUUCCGUUCACCCUCCUUCUUCCUCCCACCCUUCGUCCAUCAUGGUCGCAAAUGGCUCUUGUCUUCCUGUCACCUCCGUGGGUACAGCUCACACUCCCGGUUCUUUUCGGGUUUCUGAUGUUCUUGUUGCUCCCUCCAUGGUUCACAACCUUCUUUCUAUUCGCCGUUUUACCACUGACAAUUCCUGUUAUGUUGAAUUUGACUCCUCUGGUCUUACUGUGAAGGAUUUGGCUACUCGGCGACCUCUUCUCCGAUGUGACAGCACCGGGCCCCUUUACUCCCUCCGAUUUCCUGCGUCCACUUCUUCCGCUUCGCCCUCCGCUUCUUCAGCUGCUUUUGCCGCCACAGCUUCUUCCACUACAUGGCACCGGCGUCUUGGUCAUCCUGGCCGUGCUGUCCUGACACAGCUUAGUCGUAGUUCCGACAUACCAUGUACUCGGGCUCAUGAUGAGCACCUGUGUCAGGUGUGCCAACUGGGCCGUCAUGUUCGACUUCCUUUUCCUACCUCCUCUUCACAUGCGACCCAUGUGUUUGAUCUUGUACAUUGCGAUCUAUGGACAUCGCCUGUUCUGAGCAUUUCUGGCUAUAAGUACUAUCUUGUUGUGGUUGAUGAUUUCUCUCAUUAUUCUUGGACUUUUCCCUUGCGUGCCAAGUCUGAUACUUUCCCCACGCUUCUCCACUUCUUCGCUUGGGUGUCCACUCAGUUCGGUCUCACCAUCAAGGCCGUCCAAUGUGACAACGGCCACGAGUUUGAUAACACCACCUCCCGUGCCUUCUUCCUCUCUCACGGCGUGCACCUACGCAUGUCAUGUCCCUAUACCUCCUCCCAGAACGGUAAGGCUGAACGCAUGAUUCGUACCACGAACGACACCAUGCGCUCUCUUCUGUUCCAGUCUUUUCUCCCUGCCCCCUUCUGGGCUGAGAGUCUUCACACCUCCACCUAUCUCCUUAACCGACUACCUUCCGUUGCCUGCCCCGCUCCCACUCCACACCACGCUCUCUUCGGUACCUCCCCCCGCUACGAUCACCUUCGGGUCUUCGGGUGUGCGUGUUAUCCUAACACCGCUGCCACCGCUCCUCAUAAGCUGGCUCCCCGUUCGACUCAGUGCGUCUUCCUCGGGUACUCCCCGGAUCACAAGGGGUACCGUUGCUUUGACCUCUCCUCUUGGCGGGUCCUCAUCUCUCGCCACGUGGUGUUUGACGAAUCCGUCUUCCCUUACUCCACCACCUCCCCACCUCCUUCCACCUCCGACCCUGAUCUCUCCUCCCUGUUUCCCACUGACCCGGUGGACCAGCCACCGCUACCGUUGUGUCCUGCAGGUACUGCUCCGCCGUGGUUCUCAUCGGGCUCGACGUCCACCGGUGUUGUCCCUGACCCUGCGCCCAGCGCGGGUCCGACGGUGCCGGCCUCUGGUGCUGCUUCUACCCCUUCGCCCUGCGCGGGACCGGUGGCACCGCCCGCAGCACCUGCUGUCCGGUUUGCGCAGCCCGUGCGCGUCUACCAGCGCCGGGCGCGGCCGGCUCCCCUGGACCUGCAGCCAGCCCCGCCACCGCCGUCGCCGCCUCAGUCAUCGCCGGUGGACUCUUCUCCGCCGGCGACGCCUACACCACCACCACCUCCGCCGGCCCCGACUGCCCGUGUCGCGCCGUCGGUGUACCAUCCGCCUCUCCUACACCGGCACCCGCAUCACGUUCACCCUAUGGUGACGCGACUUGCGGCUGGUACCCUGCAGCCCCGGGCUCUUUCAGCGAUGCCCAGCGCGCCGCAGGUUUCUCCUGUACCCUCCUCCGUCCGCGACACCCUGUCGGAUCCUCACUGGCGCCGCGCGAUGGAAGAGGAGUACGCGAUGCUCCUCGCCAACCAGACUUGGGAUCUGGUGCCCCGACUGCCUGGCUCCAACGUCGUCACCGGCAAAUGGAUUUGGACACACAAGUGGCGGGCUGAUGGUACCCUCGAGCGGUACAAGGCUUGCUGGGUUCUCCGGGGUUUCACUCAGCGCCCUGGUGUCGACUACGACGAGACGUUCAGUCCGGUGGUCAAGCCAGCUACUGUCCGGACUGUUCUCUCACUGGCUCUCUCCCGCUCCUGGCCCGUGCAUCAGCUCGACGUCAAGAACGCCUUCCUGCACGGUACUCUGACUGAGACUGUUUACUGCAGCCAGCCAGCGGGGUUUGUUGACUCUUCUCGGCCUGAUAUGGUCUGCCGGCUCAACAAGUCACUUUAUGGCCUCAAGCAGGCCCCUCGAGCUUGGUAUUCGCGGUUUGCUGCCUUCCUACUUACGCUGGGGUUUGUGGAGGCCAAGUCCGAUACUUCACUGUUUAUCUAUCACCAUGGUGCGGAGACUGCUUAUCUGCUGCUCUAUGUUGAUGACAUUGUCCUCACUGCCUCCAGUCCGUCCCUCCUACGCGGAUCAUCACCUCACUUCAGCAGGAGUUUGCUAUGAAGGAUCUGGGUGUGCUCCAUCACUUUCUUGGGGUCACCGUCGAGCCUCGUCCGGCUGGCCUCUUUCUUCACCAGCGGCAGUAUACUCUUGAUAUCCUGAAGCGAGCUGGGAUGACUGACUGCAAGCCCUGCUCCACUCCAGUUGACACUCAGGCCAAGUUGUCAGAGGCCGACGGCACUCCUGUGACAGAUGCUACUGCGUACCGGAGUCUGGCUGGGGCCCUUCAGUACCUCACUUUUACCAGGCCGGAUAUCACUUAUGCGGUUCAGCAGAUCUGUCUCCACAUGCAUGAUCCUAGGGAGCCCCAUCUCACUGCUCUCAAGCGCCUACUCCGUUACCUCCGGGGCUCUGUGGACUACGGCCUCCUCCUUCACAGGUCUCCCUCCACUGAGCUCGUUGUCUACACCGACGCUGACUGGGCCGGGUGCCCGGACACUUGGCGCUCUACCUCCGGCUACGCCGUCUUUUUGGGCGGCAACCUGGUGUCCUGGUCGUCCAAGCGUCAGCCGGUGGUCUCCCGCUCUAGUGCCGAGGCGGAGUACCACGCUGUCGCUAACGGCGUGGCCGAGGCAUCAUGGCUUCGGCAGCUCCUUGCCGAGCUCCACACCCCUUCUUCCCGGAGCACUCUUGUCUACUGCGACAACGUCAGUGCGGUGUACCUCUCCACCAACCCUGUUCAGCACCAGCGGACCAAGCAUGUGGAGAUUGACCUUCACUUCGUCCGGGAUCGGGUCGCCAUCGGCGAUGUUCGGGUCCUCCACGUCCCGACCACCUCUCAGUUUGCUGACAUCUUCAGCAAGGGCCUCCCGUCACCUGCCUUCACCGAGUUUCGCUCCAGCCUCAACAUCACCUGUGGUUAGUUGCGUCUGUGGGAGGGCUUGUGUGUGUGCCUUUCUUUUCAUGUCCAGUCUGCAAUUCCGCUGCGUCGGUAGUUCAGACUGCGGGGGAGUGUUGGUGUAUGGUGUAUGUGUGUAUUAUGGCCCAAUAAGGCCCAUGUAUGACUGCUAUAUAGCUACCCACUAGGGUUAGCCCAAUAGAUAAGGUUUUAUCCUCUAAUAUCUUGUUCUAUAUCUAUUUGAAAUAUUUAAAUAAUAAGUAUCAUACUUUACUAGUGCUACUUCUGUUGGAGCGAUUUCUUACAUGGAUAUUGAAGGCUUUAGAUACAAAAGGGAUGUCCUCUUCUGCUAUGACCUCAAACUUCUUGCAGAUUUUGUUCCUAAUAAUGAAGGUAGAUGCUGAAUCUGAAACUUGACAUCAUUAAUUUUCUUUUUUUUUAUAAAACACAGCAUGCUAAUUUUCUGUAUUCACAUUGAUAUAAAUUGCUAUCUGCUGCACACAUUUUUUCAGAUGGAGAGGUUGAUAGCUUCAGGCUAAUCCCUGUGCCACAUGCUGCAAACAUUAUCCGGAGGACAGAAUUUUUCAAGCCAAAUUGCAACCUUGUGAUCAUCGACUUCCUCUUCCGUCAUGGGUACUAUAUACAUAUUACAUUUUUGAUUUCUUAGCACUGAAAUUUCAAGGGAAAUAAUUUCUUUGAUGCUGAGUUGCUGAUAUUGUAACCUUGUCUUAGGUACAUAAACCCAGAUUCUCGCGGCUACCUAAAUCUGUUGCAAAGCUUGAGGAGCGGUGAUUGUUCUUAGCUGCCGUUUGCUGUUAAAUUUUUUUUGUUGACAAUUCACUUUUAUGAAAUAGAAAAAUCAUGGAGUAGGCUGGAAAGAUAGCUGAUCAUUGAUCAAAACUAUUUAUGGGACUUAAUUGUCAAAUCUCACUAUGAACAGAGCAUUAUCUUCAGAGUUCUGUUGAUUAGAAUUAGCAACGGAUUAGUUUGAUUUAAGGGGACAAAAUAAGGAAGAAAUGGUACUGAAUAUGGAACUCUUGUUAUUCAGUUGUCUCGUCUGUUUUUAUUUUUUGGUUUGAUGUAGUUCCAGUACCUGUAUAUAGAUGGUGCUGAUGUAUCAUUGUGAAACUUGUUAAAGAUGUAGGUCUUUAGAUGCUUGUGAGUUGUGACCAGUCCACUGUCCAGUGUCUACAGUUACACAAAAUUUAUGAAAAAUGCUAACUAAACACAUAUUUUGUUUGUCCUUUUGAUAGAACUUGAAUUUGGUCUAUAAGCAGCCUGCUGUUCUUAUGGAGUAGAUGGAUAUUCUGCUCUAGUAAUCAUAUGGAUAUUCAUAAUUUUGGCGUUGCUUGAUAGUUUGAUGGAUGAAUCACUAGAUAGAUGCAUGAAACUGAGCUUACCUCAUCAGGAGGGGGUCGAUUUCAUAUAACUGGUGAAUACUGGUUGGUGGUUGCACCCAUCUACAUUUUUUGUGAGAUGGCCCUGCAAUUUUAACAAGAAUCUAGUAUACAGCUUGCUCUCAAGGGCUCCUCUUCAUCGUUUGUGAGCAAAAACCAGGAUGUACAUUUGUGUCUCUUGAUGCCGACAAAAUAGAGAUGCAAAAAAGCAUGAUGGACAUAACAAACACUGUUCUUUACAUCGAACAGCGGUAUCAGCCACACCAGUAAUUUUGUGCAAUGCAACAAAAGCGAGGAACACAUUCACAUCGGUUCUAGGGGUGGACUGUGGAGGCGUGCGGCAACAUGGAUCAACAGAAAGUUGUUUUGAAAAACAAACAGGUUCUCAGGGCUGGAAGAUUCUUGGCUCUCUAGGUUUGUCAGCAAAACUCAUGAUGUACAUACAUUCCAGGCCAGCGCAAUCGGUCCAGGGAGCAGCACAGGGAACCAAUAUAAAUUGUACCAUUUCAUACAUGUUCGCGGUUUUGUUUACAGAAAUAAUGGUUGAGAAUUAAGAAGCGUAAAAGAGAGAGGCUCCCAGAUGUAUCGUUCACACAUUUUUCAAUUUUCAUGCCUUGGCACCCAAACUUCAUGCCAACUUUCCAACGAGCAAAAGAAGAGAGGCUAACCAAAAGUGGAUGCGGACAGCUGGAAUAAUCAUAGCAUCCGUCGUCUAGUAUUCUUUAAAACGGAAUUUAAGAAAGGGUUGCAGGUGAGACUUGACAUCUUGGUUCUCCCAAUACAAUCUAUUCCAUUCUGUAACAGUACCGAACUCUAGUGUACGCAAUUUGGGCGGCAAGUUUUGCAUCGUGAAAGGAAGCCUCUUCAAAUUUGGACAAUCCACAAACUCCAGGGUCUCCAGGGAUGGGAAUGUUACCUGAGAGACACAAGCUGGCCAACCCAGUGUUAUUCCCUGAAUACAGAAGCUUGAGACAAGGGAAUGUGCCCACUGAAGCCUUUGGCCUCUCAUGCUUCUUGCUUCAUAUUAUGACAGAAAGACACAUCAACAUAUUCAAGGCAAGGACAGUACGUGGCCCAAGAGAUGUGCUGUAUCUCGGGGCAAUUGACUAUAUGCAAUUGAGUGAGCCUUGGAAAUAUAGCCAGAGCAGAUAUUUCUUUCCAAGGUAUCUCUCGAAGGUUCAUCAAACUACCGAGCUUGAGCAUGCUGAGAUUCUCAAAUGGUUUUCCAAAGUUGUCUCUUACUUCUAUUUGCACCAUAGCUACAACAAAUAUCCAGCUUAUAUAAGGUCCUUCGCACAAUGUCAUCUGCAAAAGUACCACCUGAGAGGCAGAACACAGGUUUCUCCCCUAAAUUCUCCACAAUUAAAAACCUCAUGGGGAUGUUAACAGCCUUGCUUAAUGAUUUAUAUUCAUCAGCACCAUGGACUGUAUAUGAACUGCUUUUAAAUUCGAUAGGGUGCAGAGCUCUACAAAUAUUGAUGUGGUACUGAAUUUCUCAAGAGUCCUCAAGUCUAGUACUUCCAAUGCUUUAAGACUCGAGAUAGCUCCCUUUGGUAUUAGUCCAAUGUUGGUGCCUCCCAGAUUCAAGAAUUUGAGCUUGGUAAGCUUUCUGAGGCACUCAGGCAUCUCAUAUGAAAAACUGAGAUACUCCAAGUUUACCAAGGUACAUAAUUCUUUGGCUAUGUUAGUGAACCUGUUGCAGCUAAGAUUUAGAUAUGUCAGUGCAGUGAAACUCUGAAUAGCUACAAAAAUCCUUUGAUCCAACAUAUUCCAUCGAAGGUCCAAUAUCCUUAAUCUCCUGACGCAAGGGUUAGGAUCAAUAGGAGGAAGGUCUGUCAUUUUAUUCAACAUCAAUGAUAUGCAUUCAGCUUUGCUCCAAUCAAUGGUGUUUGUAGAUGAAUUUACACCAACUCCUGCAUGGACAACCCACUUGUCAUUGCUCUUAUCACAACCGCAAGCUAUCCAAAGGGCCAUACCACGAACCAUAUCAUGCCUUUUAACACCGUCUGUGUAUGGCUUUGAUGGAUUUAUACCCUCACAAUUCUCUAACAAACAUGUAGCUUUGAGUUCACCUAUUAUACUAUGUACCUUUAUGUUUGAUUUAUGUAUAUCGCGUUCAUCCACCAGACCUAAGCCCAACCAGCAUUCAGCUAGAGCUUCCAUUUGGAUCUCCUUAUCUUCUGGCCACAGUGAGCAAGUCAAGAAACAUUGUCUCAGGGUAUCAUUUCUAAGCCUAUCAUAACUGAACUUCAGCUGCCUAAAAACACUUUCCAUGCAGAGGGGAUCAUCCUUAUCACAACAUGACUACAUGUAAACAAUGGCUGAUUCCCAUUCUACAGGAUCAGUUUUGGAUGCAUUGCCCGCCCAGUAGUUAUCAAAGCUAAUGGCAAGCCUUUUAGUCCCUUCACAAGUUCUUUCGCAAGAGCUUCAAUAAGAGGACUAGAGAGUGUCUCAAGUCCAACCUUGUCUUUAAAUAGGUGCCACGCCUCAUCAUUUGGCAAACAAGCCACAUUUAUAUAUUUCCUGACCUCCAUUAGACCACACACAUUUUUGGAUCUUGUUGUGAGCACCACUUUUCUCCUCAUUUGGUUUAUACUAACAAGGGGUAUGCCGACUUCAUGCAGAUCAAUCCGGUCCCAGAUAUCAUCUAAUAAUAUCAGAAAAGUUCUUUUACUGAAGAAUUUGAAAAUGAUUUUGGCUUGAGAUCUUACAUCAUUGCCUUUACAUAAAUGAAGCUUGUCUACUAUUUCAUCUUGGAUCUUUCUCACUGAACAGUCUUUGGAAGCCGUGACAAACAGAAUCAAAGGAUGCAUCCCCGAUGAAAGAGUUAUUUAUCUCUGUCAGAAGAUGGGUCUUGCCCAUUCCUCCUAGGCCCCAAAUUUCAAUAACUCCCACCGGAUCAUUCCUAAUACACCUCAAGGCCUCUUGUAACAUAGCAACUCUGGAAGGUUGCUGCGCUGUCGAUGAACAUGGCAUCUCUUGGACAGAAGAUGGUGCGCGCUGAACUGCAAAAUCACAUGGUUUACUGGCUAUACAUUCUUUGACACAGCGAACCUUCUCGGCAGCAUCUUUGCUGAUUCUAUAGUUUGACAGCAAUUCGGUGCACAACAUCCAAAGAUUUUGUAUCUCUGAUCGUAUUUGCAGCCAAUCUGCUCUUCCUGUUGUCUGAUAGUUUUGACCCUACCUAGCCACCAUUGCACUUCGUUGGACGCUGACAUCCCUUGUCGUUCAACGAUCUCAAUAUGGUCCUGAACAUCUUUACUCUUUGCAUGUAGAUCAUUGGUUGCCUCUCUGAAAUCCUUUACAUUUUUGCUUACCUUGAAGGGGUAAGCUGCAUGCUUGAAUAUGAGAUUAUAAACCGGCAUCAGGAUAGGUUUGACUAGUUGCAUCAGGAAUGCCAUUAUUGGCAGAAACAAUCAUAAAAGAGAACCUCUUGCCACCUGCCAAAUAGAUAUAGUUGCUUCCACUCUCAGUGAUAUGCUGUCAUUGGGAUUGCCAAGAUUGAAAUUACUUUAUGAGCACAAUAACAUGCUUACCUCACUUUUUUUUCAAGCAAAAGUUUAGAAACUAUAAGUAGAAGACUGUACUAUUCCCACAUUCAGUCAACCACAACAAGGUCAGACAAUACCGGAAGAUGUAAUAACGAAUACCUGAAGUGUGAUCAUAACAUGCAAAGUUUAGGUUAAGAAAAAGUAAUAAAAUUGAAACAUGCUCUGCAUUUAAAGAUAGCCCUAUAACAUGGGUAAAAAUUCAAGAUACACAUAUGAAGUUAAAGUUUGUACAUAGUCUGAAGUUCUAAAAUUUUGAGUUUUCUGCCAAGAGAAAAAUCGAACAAUUCUUUGUGAAUGAUUUACAUUUUUCUGAUUCUGAUCAAGAAAUGUAAGGAUAUUCACAAACAUAUUCUGAGGGAAAACAGAUCCACAUAGCAAUUGAAAUGUGUUUAUAAAACAUAUUGGUGACCACCAAAUGCUCAGCUGAAUUUGCUUAAUGAACAUGGCCUUUCUGUCAGUGUAAAAAGUUACAUCAUGUCAUGCACAGGUGCAGUCAGUGGUGAAAGGUGCCUGAGUGUCUAUUCCGUUGGGUGUGACUACGACAGAAGUGUAGUUUGAGAAACAGCAGGAAAAUAAUGUGCAGUAGUUUAAAAGCAAUAUUAAAAGUGUGGUUUUCUGGUGUUAUUUUAGGAAACUUACCCAAUGGAAGAGUGAUGGCUAAUGAACAAGACCAUAAGAAACUCGCAGAGCUUAUGAGCAGGGCAUUAUUCUUUCAGUAGUAUUUUCCAUAGAGGAUAUACCGUGUGCAGAGGUUUUACUUGAUGUUUUAGAAAAAUGCUAGUCAUAACUCUGAUACAAUGGUAAAUCAGAAAGACAAAAAGCUUAAGCACAAAACAUUUUCAGAGAUUGACAGAAGCCACAUAAAAUAAGAAAGAAUAUAAACAUAUAAUCCAAAACUAGAAAAUGUGGCAUCACAAUUAUAGUACAUGGUGGCCAUUGAAGGAGUAGAAGGGGCAAAGGAAACAGAUGACUGAUAUACCUUCAGUAUAUUGUUGUAUGUUGAUGUCAAACUGAUAACUGGUCCAAGCUCUCAGGGAUGAGUGCCCGUCAAGGUAUCUGGUGAUACCAUGCGAAGGAACUGCAAGACAAACUUAGACUCAGUGCAUUUACAAGUAGGCAGGAAAGUAGAACAUUAUGCAUGUAUGCACGUUGUAGUUUUAAUGAUAAACAUUAAUAAAUCAAGCAGUUGGCAUGCAGGGAAGACUUGACUUCCUGGUUGGUUGAAACCAGAUGGCUUGCUUUGUGCAAAAUGAUCCAGCAAACUGGCACGUCAGUGCCACUAGAAUUUCAGUUUAUCACAUAGAUUAAGCCAGGUUCUAUGUAAUCCUUAGGAACCACACGUACACAAAAAAAAUAGUUUCCAGAGGAAGCGUGGGCAUCAAAAUUAAUGAUGACAUUGGUCACUACUCACUACUUCCAAACAAAAAAGUCGAGAUUCCAGGUCACCUAUCCUAUUCAAUAUUGUGGUUGAUAUACUCUCUAUUUUAAUUAAGAGGGCUAAGAAUGAUGGCCAAAUUGAUGGAGUGAUACCUCACUUGGUGGAUGAUGGAUUGUCGAUCCUUCAAUAUGCAGAUGACAGAAUCAUAUUUAUGGAUCAUGACUUAGAGGAAGCUAAGAAUAUGAAGCUCAUGCGUUGUGUCUUUGAACAAUUGUCAGGUUUAAAAAUCAACUUCCACAAAAGUGAGAUAUUUUGUUAUGGAGCAGUUCGAACAAGAAUAUACUGAAUUGUUUGGUUGUGGCCUAGGAUUGUACCCUUUCAAAUACCUAGGAAUCCUGAUGCAUCACAACAAACUCCGUAAUGCGGAUUGGAAUGUUAUCGAGGAAAGAUUCAAAUGAAAAUUAAGUAUCUGGAAGGUCAAAUAUUUAUCUUAUGGGGAACGACUGAUUUUAUUGAAUUCUGUCCUAAGUAGUCUUCCUAUGGUCAUGACGGCCUUCUUUGAGAUCCCUAAAGGAGUCCUUAAAAGAUUGGAUUUUAUUGAUCCAAAUUCUUUUGGCAAGGUAACAAUAAUAAACAAAAAUACCGGCUAGCCAAAUGGGACAUAUUGUGUCGUUCUAAAUAUCAAGGGGGUUUGGGAAUAACAAACCUGUUGAUUAUAAAUAAAUGUUUGCUCAGCAAAUGGUUAUUUAAACUACUGAACGAAAAUGGCAGAAAUAAAUAUCUAAGUUCACAUGCCAAGACAUCUCUUUUUUUUAUUGUCAACAUGCCAAGACAAUUUGGAGAGUUGUUAAUAUAGCUACUGGGUUAACCCUGCUAAAAUCAAUAGCGCAUAUGCUUGAAAAUUGGUUAACAGGCAUAAGAAAGAAUGAUAGAAGUUUGAUUUUUGUUGGGGUUGCAGCUCUUAUGUGGGCAAUUUGGUGUACGCGAAACAAUGUGGUUUUUGAGAAAAAACCAUUCACCUCUUUUAUGCAAGCUGUUUUCAGGGGAGUGUAUUGGUUGCGAUUUUGGUCUUUGUUACAACGGCGAGAGGAAAUAAGGGAGACCAUAUGUUUACCAAGCAAGGCGUUGGAAGUCGUUGCCUUGGAUAUCUUUGCCAAGAAUGGAUGGAGAAAUAAUAAUAGACUUUGCUUUUGAUUUCUUCCUGUCAUGCGUACUUUUUUUAUUAUAUGUGAUCAACUUGUGAGGUGAAAAUUAUGAAAAAAUAUGGCUGUGUGCGGUUGUAGAUGCCGGAAACAAUUUCCUUUUUUAAAAAAAUAUCAUCCGAUAAGUUUCAGGAACAGGGUCAAAGCUAACGUGAUCCUAGAUGUAUUGUGUUCUUAACAUCGGCAUUUUUGUGGAGAGAUCUGUACAGAGUGGACAGAAUUUCUCAAAAUUUGACACUGGAUAUACCUGAGUAGUGGAUCGACAAUGGAGAGCAAACAAGAAUCUUUACAUGCUCAAUAAAUAGAAGGUACGAGUAAGAAGAUAACACAAGACGACCACAUGAGUCACAAGAUCAGUCAGUUUUCGCUUUACGAAAUGGAUUCUUGGGGGCCAGGCGAAGGAAGUGAAGGAGCAGAUGGAGAGAAAAGCGAAAUCUCCGUGUUUUUUUUGUUUCUCUUUCUAUGGUUACGGAACAAGGAAGGCACAGUUCAACAGGGGAGCAUAGAGUUGUAGACGGGAAAACGGUGCAAGCGAGAACGCGUCUGUGUCAAGUGGACGGUGUUAGCAAUGGAGACCAGCAAAGGGCGGCGAUAGCAACGAUGAGUGAGUUUUCGAUGGAUUCGGGGACAGCUGGGAACAGGAGAUGGUUUAUUUUUAAGACAAUGAGGAAGCAGGGGAUGAUGAGCCAAUUAGGGUUGUUGAACUAGUAGUGGUGUAGCUAGGUACUUGCAAACUCCAGUGGCAUGAUUCUGCAGUUCUUCACAAAGGUCUCUCUCUCUCACGCGUGUAAUGCAAUCCGGCCCAUUGACGCUCUGUUCGCGUUAGUAGGUCGUGAACAAUAAUUUCAUACUCCUAUGUCCCAGAUACAGCUACCUUUAAAUUUUUCCGAAGUCAAAUUUUUUCAACUUUAACCAACUAGCAGGUGGAUAGAGCCAAUACUAAAUGGUAAUCAGGCAUGUUAGUGGUCCUAACGUCCACCCAAUAAAACCCUGUUUGAAGAAGGGGUGCUAAACUUUAGCACCCUACUUUUUAAGCACCUUUUAGCACUUGGGCUCCCAAACAGGAGUGCUAAAAGGGGUGUGCUAAAGUUUAGCACCCCUAUUUUCUUUAGCACACCCAAGAGGUGCUAAAAGGUGCUAAUGGGUGCUAAAAGUGGUCCCAAGCCUAUUUUUUCCUCUGCUGCCCCCCUCUCUCUCCUCUUCACUUUUCCCAAGCCAGUCAUAAAUGAGGGCAAUGUAGUCAUUUCUCACCCAAUGUGCUAAACUUUAGCACUGUAUCCAAUCAAACCCCAAGUGCUAAACUUUAGCACUCCAUUUGAGGGUGCUAAAGUUUAGCACUAUGCUAAAGUUUAGCAUUGUGUAUCCAAACGGGGCCUAAAUCACGCUCCUUGUUGGUCCCCGAGCCUAAGCCAGACCAUUUGAUCGAGAGCCCGGACUUCUUCACUCCCAUGAUGACCUAGGAGAGGUGCUGCCCAUUUUUUCCAUGAUUUGUGAGGAUUUCACUCAUCCAAAUAUUCUGAAGGUUAACAACUUCAUCAUCUCUCCUCUCACGGUUAGUAUGCUAUGUUGUAUGCUUUGUAGUUAGAGAAAUUUGUGAUUUUUUAAACGAAGGGAAUGGAGAGAUUUUAUAUUUAUACAUGCAUAGAAAGUGGAGAAUUUUUACCUAUACAUGAAUACGGAGUGGAGAAUUUGAGGAUAGAGUGAAAUUACAGUUCAAAGAAAUAUAAUUUUGCCCUUCAUAAUACUAAUAUCGUAUCGUUGUAUUUAAAAAUAAUUUUGUUACGAAUCGAUACUAAAGGAUCCAUUUAGUACUAGUUGGUAACUCCAACCGGUACUAAACUUGCUGCCGCCACACUGCAUGUGGGUGAGACUGCAUCUUUUUUCUUUUCUCUUUGUUUGUUUUCCAUUUAUUUUAUUUUAUAUUUGUAUUUGUAUCCCUUUGCGUAUGCUAACGUUAACAUAUAUGGUUCUAGCAUAUUAAAUAUAUACAAUUGUAUAUACAUUUCAAAUAUUACGUUUUAUAUAUACACACACAAUUUAUGUAGUAACAUAUCUAUUCCAAAUAUGAACUACAACAUUUUCAAUUAAUCUGCAUCCGAACAUGCAUAUUUGAUCUAUGGUAAUAAAAUUAUCCUUGGGAUCUACUACCUUCUCCAAAAGAAAUUCAAAUAGUUGCUUUUGAAUUGCUCUUAUUCAUUCCGCCUCGAGCAGUCUUCCCUUCAUCCGCACUAUCUGUCACAUGCAAAUAUCAUUAUACCAAAUCAAUUAAUGCACACCAUUAGAAAAAAUAAAUUAUUAUGAACUAUUUCUAGACACUCUUCUUGGAAAGCUGCCCCUCAACAUUACCAGGGUUAUCUUGCCUGAUCUUAUAGCGCAGAACUCAACACAUAGGAUAAGCAUCCAAUUUCUCAUAUUCCUCACCACGAUGGAGGAUAUAGUCAUUAGGAUAUCCAUGUAUCUUCUGUAACUCCAAUCUCAUAGGCCAAACAACUUUUCUUGCUUCGUACUUUGUGGAUGGCAAUUUGUAAUUACCCUCGGGAAGCAUGUUCUUUAGGAUUUUCAAUAACUCCUCAAAUCCUUUAUUGAACACUCCAUUUGUUGCCUUUCAUUGUAGUAAUUCAGGUGUGCUACCAUAAUUUUUCCCUUAUUUAUAAUCUAGGUACAACAAUAUUAUGUGAUCCUCUAACAUAUGCUCGAAAUUCUUUGCCUCCUUCACACUUUCGUCUUUCUGUGCAUCUCGUAACACCUGACCUAGAUCAUUAGUAGGGCUAGAUCGAUGAACACAAGGACACGAGGGACUUUACCAGGUUCGGACCACCAGAUUGGUAUAAUACCCCAAUUCCUGUGCUCGGGUUUGUAUUCUCAGCAUGUAGCGUAUCGAAUAUGGCUUGCGUUUUUGAGGUGGGUCCCUGCCGCUCUUAUAUAGUCCGGAGGGCAAGGUUACAGAUCUGAUUUGAUCUAAUCCUAAUCGGUUACAAGGAAAUCUACUACCUUUUGAUAUAAGUUAUCUCUUCACAUACUUAAACAUGCCUAUCUGUAACUAUAUCUCUUGAUGCCAAUCCUUCAUCUUAAUCCGUACGUCUAUCCCGAGUUCCCCUCGCAUGGGCCGCGAUACCGGCCCAUCCGAGUGGUACCCGAGGGUUAUAUCCCCCACAACAGUCCCCGAGCGCUUCUUGGCCGAACAUCAACCUUGAUUGAUCCUUUAUCCGAGUGAUUUUCUCCAUUGCCGAGUAGUUUCCGUCAAGUCUGAGUGCUUCUUAACUUUCAACCAAGUGGUUGAUGCCUGACUCGUGAUUGCCAAGAGGUCGAGGAGAGCUCCUCCCCUUGUCUUCUUUAUCACUCACACCAAAGGCAAGGUGUAAGGCGAAGUGUAUACACUUAGCCCCCGAGCCUUGGGAAGUUUAAAAUAAGCAUGCCAAGAGUCUUGAUUUGAAGUCUCAACAUAUCCUUUCUAAGGACUUUUCCACACGCGCGCUGAAGGCAAAGUGUGUACACUUAGCCCGAGCCUUGGGAAGUUUAGAAUAAGCUUGCCAAGGGUCUAAAAAUGAGCCUUUAAGCAAUAUGACGUUUAUUUCUCCAGAGAUGAACAUACGCCUGCCAGCCCCCGAGCCUUGACUGGGUUCAAAGAAGCCAGCCAAGGGUCACAAGACAAGAGAGCCCAGUUUCGUGAGGUUUAAUGCUGUUGCCUUUAUUUUUAUAUUUUUUUGAGAAGUGUGUAAUACUAAUACUGCUCCAUUGUACUAUUGGAGGCCAGCAUAGCGUGAUUAAUGAAUCCUCGUUAAUAAUAAUAAGUUGACAGUCACAUCCUGAUGAAAUUAUCGAUACUCUCCUGAAUUCCUUUCAGUCGAAUGUCAAAAUAUUUAUUCAGAUCGAAGAACCUCAAAAACGGCGAAAUUUUUAUACUGAUGCUACGGAAGUCUUAUUGCCUAUCUCAUGAGGAAUUUGUGAUGUUUCCAGUCUGUUGACGGAAGAGUUUGCAAAAUAAGGGGAAGGGGAUCCUGCUGGAUACGUAGAGUUCUCGUUUGAAAGUAAUGUCAAAAACCUGCAUGUACAAAAGUAGCACUGACAAAACUAGGAGAUGACGACAUCGAGUCAGACAAAAGGGAGAUCUGACUCAGAAAGAACAGUUUAUUGAAAGAACAAUAUCUUUGGAAAUGGAGUGUACCAAUUAAAAACCUGGCAGUGUAGGUUAGAUUUCAGAACAUGCAUCUCAGUGGCCAGUUGAAGCAAGGAAUGGAAGAUACCGUAUAAUGUAAGUAUAAUGUAAGAGGAUAUACUCCUCCCAUUUCUAAAGUUCAAAAUUUAUCUAAAAUAAGUGCACAUCUAGGAAUGAGAUCACCUAACUCUUUUCUGCAUUUAUUUUGGGACGGAGGGAGUAGCAUCAAAAUUAAAAUGCAACAAUUUCUUUUACAGAAGAUGUGAAUUCUGUUAAUCAAAAGGUUCAGUUUGGGGCCAAUACUUUCUCAUUGAAUGGAAACACUGUAUAGCGGCAUACGAUUUUACAUGGUUCCGAAUUCACGUUCUUCAUCUCAAGUGAGCAUUGAAAUGAAGACUUAUAGUGACUGCUAGUCGUAAAUGAAAAUCUUCGCUUCAUGUUCAAGUCAAUUGCGUCACAAGUUUGAUGUCGACACUUUCCAUAUUCACAAAAUUAAGGCGAGUAUCCGGGAUUGUGAUGUUUCAGAACUCUUUCAGGACAAGCAUGAAUUAAUUGUUCAAUUCUGCUGGACCUACAGAGAUAAGCAGCGCUGACUGAAGUACAUGAUGACUGUUGAGCGAGACAUCCAUGUGAGCAUUUGACUUGGAAAUGUCAAAGUCUGAUGUAUGAAAAUUCGAUAAUGUUUGACCAAUGAAAGGGACAGAAAACCAUUUUAUAACCGUGUUCAGACAAUCAGAUAAUUUGUGCUAGCAACUAAACAACUCUAUAACUGAGCUGAAUAUCCGCAAUGUUGAUUAUGCGAGCAAGUUGUUGCCGGGCCCACGGGGGCCACCGCUCACGGCCUCACGCGCUGUUGCUGCGUGCCCGCCUUCCCCUGCGGCCGUGCCCGGCACUCGGUCGUUUUUUUUUUCUUCUCCAUUUUUCCUAUUCAAUUAUUUUUUUCAUACCUUAUGUAUUCAAAUAAAUAUCAUCCAUACAUAUAAGUUAUGUGCACAAAUUGUUUAACAACAUUCUUGUAUGUACCAUGAAAAUUGUGUCAUAAAAUUUAUGGUGUAAGUUGUUGUUGGUUAAAAGGUAUGCACAUAAAUCGUGUGUAUAAAUUAUAACUUUCUAAAAUAAAUAUUCGAAAUUGUCCUUUAGAAAUUAUGCAUAAAAGUUGUACGCAUAAGUUCUGCCUGUUAUCAAAGUUGUGCUAACAAAUUUAUCUCAUAAAAAGAAAGUUGUCAGUGUAAAGUUAUGUGUCAAAGGUACGUAUAUAAAUUAUGAUAUUCUAAAAAUAAAAGGUUGCCAAAAUUAAAAAUUUCUAAAUAUAGAAAUUCGGGGAAGCGGCUGGGGCUGUCGGGAUCGGCGGCUGGCAGCCUUCGUGGCGCGCGCUAGUUAGACUUGCCCCUGAGUAUUCACUAAUGCUAGCCGCGUGCCUCCAUCUCUCAAUGAGUACAAGUCCGAAUAGAAUCUUUGUCAAGUUUGUUACAUGUCGUGUCAGUAUAAACUUAGCAGUUAUAUAUAAUAUAUAUGAUUCCUAAAUUACCAUUGCUCUUGCCAAUUCGAAAAUGGGAAAUCGUAGUCCCUAAUGCUACGGAAGUCCACAUGUCUAUUUCAUGAGCAGUUUUUGAUGUUUCUAGCCUGUAGACAGAAGACUUGCGAAACUUAAGGACAACAUGACAAAUGACUUUGCUCUGUUCGCUUCAGCUUAUCAGCUGGCUUAUCAGUCACCGAACAGUAUUUUUCUCUCACAACAAAUUAGCCGUUUCAACUUUUCAGCCGACUUAUAAGUUCAGCUGAACAGGUCCAAUAGCAAAAGUAGCAUAAGAAGUAUGAGGUCUAGAAAAAUGAGGUAUCUGUUUAAGAACCGUCACAAUUUGGUAUUUACAGCUACAGAGUAUAGUUUGGCAAUGAGAUUGGAAUAGCCGAAGAAUUUUGCAGUGCAGUGUGACACUUGUGGAUGAAUGAAAGAUAUUGCAGCGCAGGGGUAGGGACCGGCCUCGGCACUAUGCCGUGGUUCGCGCCCGUGGGCCGGUGGACCGGGCGCACCUGGAGUCCAUGGUCUAGCGGACUGGGUUCAUGCAAGGAAGGAAGGCGGGGUGGCUACUGUGCGGUGGUCCGUGGACCACAAAGUGGUGGGGGGUGGUUUGGGUGGCUGGUGUUCGUGCGCCAGGUGCAUGCGGGGGUGGGAAAGGGAGGUAGACGACGGGACGACGGCAUCGGGCUGCUCGGGCCCGCGCGUCAGGUUAAGACAGAGAGGGGAGGAGACGGAGGGUGACGGGGGGAGACGGCGCUCACCGGUUCGGCCGGCGGUCGGGCGGCGCCGCGGCGGCGUCAUGCGUGCCACUGUGGGACGCGGCGGAGUUGCGCCGAUUCAGCACUCCGGCUCGCCGCCGGCGUCGCGGUUUGGGCCAAGAAGGAGCGGGGGUUGUGGGGAAGCUAGCUGGGGGGGUUGGAGAGGUGAGGAGAGGGCCGGAGAUGGUGUGGCCAUGGAGGACCGAGGCUUAGAGCUCUUAGAGCUCGAUUUGGUGGUGGAAUGGUGUUUGCGAGAGCAGAUCUUUCGACGCGCCCAGCGCGUCUACCACCCGGGGAAGGGAGAGGGAGGCAGAGGUGUGGGUUCGAGAGGGGGGCUUGGGUGCUCUUUUACAGGAAGAGGAGGUCGUUGGGGAGGCGCCACGUUGGGCAGGCGGAUGAGACCAACGGCAGGUGAGGUGGUUUUGGGGCGUCGGCACCAGGCGGCAGCGGUUUGGCAAAGGAUUCGGCCGGCCGGGGGUGCUGUUCCGGCGAGGCUAAUGGCGUGCGCGCACGGUGGUGGCAAGGCAGAAGAGGGAGGAGAGAGAGAAGGGCAGGGGCGAUGGGGACAGGUGCGGUGGCUGUGAGGUGCCGUGGCAGGCUGUCCCGGUGUGCGGCGGCGUGGUAGUGUGGCGCGGUGGUGAACACGGCGGCGUGUUGCGGUGGCGGUAGGGGAAUUUCCCCCGGCGGCGGCGCCGCUGGCGUGCUGCGAAGGCAGGCCGGGCCAGUGCGCGCAUGCUGGGAUGAGCUGGGCCGCAGCGCUAUGCUGGGCCGUGGGAGGUGGGAGAUGGGCCACAUGCGAGGAGGCGGCGACCUGGGCCUGGUGGCCGGGCUGGGCUGCAGCGGGAAAGGGAGGAGAGGUGGGAGGUAGACCGGGCCGAGGAGUGGGCCAAAAAGGAGGUUGUUGGCCCGCGUAUCAUUCGAAAGGUUUUUCAUUUGUUUGAUGGAGGGUUUUAGGUUUAAAUUUAUAUUGGAUCUCAAAUUUAAAUGGGGUUUGAAAUGUGGGUUUGAACGGGAUCUAGAGAUGGGGCUUUUUAGAAAGAGAGCCUUAUCCACAAAAUCUUUACAAUCAACUAUCAAACAAUCCUAUAAUUAUUAUAUGGGAGGGGUCUAUUAACUAGGUAUAAUCAAGCAUUAUUCAAUCAAAAAUACGUCGCUAGGGGUUUUAGACUUAUAUUUUAGAAAGCAUCUAAUAUUAUAAAAAUUUUAUUCUAAUUACUCUUAUAGUUACAGCUUUUCAGCUAAAUUUUCUCCUGAUAAUUCUCCAUAUUGUGAAUCAUCAUUCAAACUUGAUUUCAUGAUCCAUACUUGCCAGAGUAGCAUUAUGGGAGUUAAGCAUGAGAUACGAUGAGUACGAGGGAACGGGAGGUGUAGUUUUUGAAUAUUUCUAAAAAUAUAAUCAGAAUAGAAGAUCUUGGGUGUCUUAAGGCGUAUGAGCUAGCUUAUAUGGAUUUAUAAAUUAUUUAUUACUCUGAUACCAACUUUACGGGGAUCUCUCCUCUCGCUGAUCACCUAUAUUAGUCCCUAGAUCAAUAGGCUAAUACAAUCAUCAUUAUAGUUUAGUAUUUAAGCAAUAAAAAGUUAUAUAAUUUAAUAAGAAAAAGUUUUCACCUUAGCGUAGCGAAGUGGUGCCCCAUCCACUAACAAAAUGGUCUAAACACUCGAAGAUCUAUACUUGCAUGAUGAAAAUAAAGCUGAGUAUACUUAUGGUUGGUACUCAGCGAGUCCCAACAUUUACUACAUAAUUAUAUGCAAUUUGGGAGGUGGACAAGGAGACUAGUUUAUGGGCAUAUCCUAUGCCUAAAGCAUCUCCCUCAUGCAAGGUGAGUUAAAAGGUGAGAAUUGAAAAGACUCUUCUAAUAAUAUAUUAUUUCAUAUUUUAAUAGUUGUGGUUCUAUAUAGGGGAAAACUAUCCCCUACCAGUCCCCAAGUUUUAUUCUGGAUUCCAGUCUAUCAACCUUCCUCCAGUAUUUCCUAAUAUUAAUCCCUCUCCCAAAGAGCUUCAAGAGGUAAUCAUGAGGUAUUAACUUAGUGAGCUCAUGAUCAUGAGCCUCGGCUAUUCGAAUAGUUAUACUCUGCACAAAGGUGUACACUUUUCCCAUAUGUCCGAUCAGCCCAUACCCUCGUGAAAAGGCGGUACUGACCUACGAGAUCCAUACCCACCCAUGUUUAUCUCUAGGCAGCAUUCCCUAGGUCUAUCCACGGAUAUACUGGGGUCUAAACAAGGACCACUAACAUCCGCUUCACGGAUCACAUCCCCUCAGGGUCUGUGACCCUCUCUGUCAACCUGUGCGGACUGAACCUGGGACUAUGCGAUGGUCCUGCUCCAGCAUAUCCAUUGUCCACCUUGGCCCCUUGGGAUGGAUGACUAGGUUCAGCUAGCGGGGUUUGAAAUAAGACCUCACAUAAACAGGCACUCCCGAGGCUAUACCUUUUUAGCACGUAUGGUUGUACGGUUCACGAGAAAGACUCGCCCAAUGACCGGAGUAACGUCUCUAGAGCUCUGUCUGAAAUGAGCUGAGUAUCAGCAAUACAUCAAAGAGAUUUAUGCACUUUCAGGUAAUCAUUAGAAAGACGCACGCAAUAACCUUGCCAAUAUAUGCUAAUUUCAGAAAAAAUAAAUUUAUUGCAGGCAUCAUAAAAUGCUUUUGAGCACAAAGCGCCUGUUAUAUUGGCAACCAAUUGGAGCAUGUGAACAUUCAGAGUGCCAACACUGCAUUCGUAAAAUAUAAAUUCGAUUUCAAAUCCGAUUUACGAGUAACGACGUAACGUUACAAUAAGCCUAGCACAUUUUGGUAUCACGAUUCAUCUACCUGCCACCAAAUACACAUGGGGACAAACGUUUUGUCCUACAAGAGCCUGAAGUUUCAAGAACAAACUUUGGACAAAGGGGCAACCUAAAGCAGCAACUCCAAUCCUAAUUCCUAAGUCCCUCUUUGCAUCAAGAAUCACACCUUCGUCAUAUCUCCUACUGCUGAUCGAGGUUUCCCUGGUUUUUGGGAUCUUACAGCCAUAUCUCUAGUAGCUUCUCUUCCUCCUGAAAGGAACAAACAUAUGACUUGGAUUUGACAGUUGACACCAUCAGCGUUAGCAGCAGCUCUUGCUGCCAUUUUUCCUGCUGCAGCUGCUGCUGUCCUCGAUUGACAUCAGCAGUGAAAUUAAAGAUGAUCUUUGUCAAGCUAAAAGUGAGAUAUCGUGGCGAUAAAGAGCUAGCGGUUACAUGCAUGUGAAAUUAUCAUUACCCUUGUCUUUCAGUUCUAUGAAACACCAAUGGGAAGUCAUUGUCACUGAAGCUACGGAAGUCUUCAUGUCUAUGUCAUGAGCAAUUUUUUAUGUUUCCAGCCUGUAGACAGAAGACUUUGCAUAGACAAGGGAAGCUGUUGAAUAUUCAGAAAUCUAGUUUGAGACGUAAUGACAAGACCUGCGUAUAGAAAAUUCAGAUACAAAAAAAACUAAGUGAUGUGCACUCUUUGAGCUAUGGACAAAAGGGAGAUCUAUCUCGGAAUGGUCAAGUAUUGGUACAUGUACUCUGCCAGUGGGUAGCUGAAGUGAGACAUAAAUGAUUUUACAUAUUGUAAACAACGCACCCAAAUGAAAAACGCAAACAUGUUUCGAUGAAUAAAUGUACGUGGUUCUGAAAGCAUCUUGUUCAGCUCAAGUGAGCCUUCAAAGAGUACUGAUAGUGACUGAUAUCAGUUCGUGGUUCAUAUACAAUAAUUGUGUUAUAACUUUGACUCCUACACAUUCCUUGUUAAUGAAACAACGGCGAGAAUUGGGCUACUUAAAUAGUUGAAAACGGCUAGUCGGCUGGAUGUACAGAGAUAAGCAGGACUGACUGAAGUACAUGAUGAGUUGCUGUCUUGCUGACUACUGAGUGAGACAUCCAUGUGAGCAUUUGACUGUCCAAGUCUGAUAUUUGAUAAUUGAUUAUGUUUGACUGAUGAAAGGGACAGAAAUCUUUUUUUUUAAAAUUUUUGUUGGACAAGAUGUACAAGCACAAGCAACUCUGGAACUAAUCUGAAGUCUGAACUGAGCUCACCAUUGAGUCAUACAGAGACUAUGUAAUUGUUCACUAAACAUGCAUAAACAAUAACCUUGAUAAUUUGAUAUACAAUCUAAUUUCAGACGAAUAAACUGGUUAUGGAAGCCGAAAUGUUUUUUUUGACAACAAUGCACCCAGUUAAAUUGACUAAGAGUUGUAUAUGAGCAUUGAGAAAUCCAUCAGUACACUCAUCAGAUUGGGAAUUGGACACUAAGCCCAAACAAUGAACAAUAUCGUAGCACAUUUUCGCAUAACCGCAUCUACCCGCCACCAAAUACACAUCGGGGCAAACUUUUUGCCCCAUAAGUCUGAACUUCAAGAACAUGAAACCAUGGACAGAGACACAACGUAAAGCGCAGCAGCAACACCAAUCCUAACACAUCUCUGCAUCCAGGACCAUUUUCCCCUAUCUAAUAAAAUCAGAUCACGUUUAAGCUCUCGCCAUCUCCUGCUGCUCGUGGAGAUUUCCCGGGUAUUUGGGAUCCUUGCGGACGAUGCGCUUCCAGUACCAGUGCCUGUCGAAGAGCAUCCAGAUCUCCUCGAUGGGCACCUGCUUCGUCUCCGGCAGCAGGAGGAUGACGAAGAUGGACAUGACGACGAUGAGCGACGCGAAGAGCACGAAGACGCCCCACCGGAGGUGGCAUAGCGCGGCGAGGAAGCACUGCGCCACGGCCGCCGUCCAGAAGAGGUUGACGCACACCACCACGCUCUGCCCUGCUGAUCGCAUCUCCAGUGGGAACAGCUCGCUGGGGACAAGCCACCCCAGUGGGCCCCAUGACCAGCCGUAGGCGACGACGAAGAGGCAGAUGGCCACCACCAGCACUGUGCUCACGCCCUUGGUCAGGUCCUCGCCGUGCCCGAACUUGAGCGCCAGGAUCACCGCCACAACCACCUGCCCAAAAUGUCACAAGAACGUCGAUCAGUGUCAGCCAGCAAGUGUAAAUGAGAAUUAUACUUGUUAAUCCUGUGUAAAGAAAUUAAGGAACGAAAGAAUCAAGACAAAAGAACUGACCAUGGAGGCGAUCAUCUGGACGCCAGCCUCGAUGAAGAGGAACCGUCGGCCGAGGCGGUCGACGGUGACCAUGGAGACGAGCGCGCCGACGACGAGCAUGGAGCCAGUGAUGAUGGAGGAGUACAGCGCGGCGGAGUUGCCGAAGCCCAGGCUCUGGAAGAUGACGGGCGAGUAGAAGAGGAUGGAGUUCAUCCCGGACAGCUGCUGGAACGCCGGGAUGCCGAGCGCGCCGAUGAUGAGCUGCGGGCGGUUGCGCGUGGCGAGCAGGUUCCGGAACGUGCCCUUCACGGCGCGCGCCGCCUCGCUGGCCUCCUUGAGGUCCUCGAACUCUGCGUCCACCUUGUGGGUCCCGCGCACCUUCUCCAGCACGCGGCGGGCCUCCUCGAGGUGUCCGCGCUCGACGAGGCUGUUGGGCGUCUCCGGCAGGAACAGCGCGCCGACGAAGAUGGCGGUGGCGGGGCCCAUGGCGAGGCCCAGCGACAGGCGCCAACCCCAUGGGUGGAGCCGGUCGGUGAAGUAGUUGAUGACGUCGGCGACGAGGAUGCCGAGGCAGGUGGUGAGCUGGAAGAGCUGGUUGACGGCGCCGCGGAUGCGGUACGGGGCGAUCUCGGAGAGGUAGAGCGGGACGGCCUGGUUGCCGAACCCGAUGCCGACUCCGAGGAGGACGCGGCCGACGAUGAGCAUGGCGAUGUUCAUGGCGGCGGCGUUGAUGGCGCCGCCGAGGAAGAAACUGGUGGCGCCAACCAUGAUGCUGGCGCGCCGGCCGUGGCGCUUGGUCACGUAGGAGGCGCCGAAGGUGGAGACGAGGCCGGCGAAGUAGAGCGAGGAGGUGAAGAGCGUCAGCACCUGGUUGUCGUACUUGCAGUAGUCCGUCUCGUGCAGGUGCGCCUGCUUCCGUUGGUACACGUCCGGGAAGAACUUCUUCAGGAAGUCGUCCAUGGAUGUCACGCCGCCUGCAACAAUGGUCUUCAUCAGCAGGAAAGCUUUGAUUUUUCCUUUUUUUUUGCAGUGAAUUAAAAUGAAUUUCGCUCAAUCAGACUUCAUUUCACGCAAUUCAGAUUUUAUAUAAAAUGUAAAUUAAAAAAUGUUGCUUUCUGAAAAUGCUAAUUUUUAGAGAUGGCAUUUGCAAUACUGCGGAUAAGAUGUGCUGUGCUCCACGAAACAGAGUAUAUCUGUACUGAAAAUGAGAGGACAGGGAACGUCUCGUCUCCAAGAAACUGAUGAGACGGAACAAGUUUCUGUUAUCACACAGGAUUUGGUAAUGGUUGUUGAAGAGGAUUAAUCAUAGUUUCCUGAUUCCAGCGGACAGUGGGCAACAACCAUGAACCAUUUUUGCACAAGGGAACAUAGUAGUAAAGCGGGUUUGCUUGCUUCCACAGAUGAUACGAGACAGAGACAUCAUGAUGUUUCCAAUUCCGUCUCAUCUGAUUAUCUGGUCUACCCCAAUCGAUUGUUUUCUGAGUCAAAAGCAGUAGGCACGAUUGAGACCGUCAAUGAAAUUCGGAUCAGAAUAUUCCCCUGCAUUUCUACAUUUUUUUUUGUUUUCUGAAAAAACAUUUUCAAGAAAUGGUUGGGUUGUUCAGGAGCAAUCAUUUCGCAAACCACAUAGAGAAUUAAGAGACAAAUUGUUUGCAGAGAAUUAUCAACCGCGGCAUCUCAGACUAGAUCAUUUUGAAACGAGAUGAAUAGCAUUCAAUUGAAUCAAAUGGGCUAGCAACUGGAAUGGGAGAAACAGAGUAUACUACAGAAAAUUGCAAGAAGAAGAAGAGCAGUGGGAGGAGAGAUGUACUGACUGGAGACUCCGAGGUCGUAGCCGAAGAGGGAUCCGCCGAAGGAGCCGACGAUGCAGGCGAGGAUGAAGUAGCCGGUGAUCUUGCCCUCGUAUAACUCCGCCCUCCCGGUGGCCGCCCCUCCGCCGCCGAACCCGCCGGCCAUGGUCUUUUACUCUCUCCCGCUCCUCCGCUUCCUCCUCUGCUCCUCACCCGAGAAGCAAGUUCCUCGCCUCUCUUCCGACAGGCUCUCUUCCCUGAAAGAAAGAAACAGGAGGAUGACGAAGCCGACAACGAUGGCGGAGAAGAAGAGGAAGAGGGCAAAUCAGAGAGGAGAGCGCCCACAACGGCACAAGUCAACACCGGGGGAGUCAAGAAACUGACAAGGGCGAAAGAGAGGCAGGACAAAUCGGCAGCAAUCGCUGAAGAAAAAGAUACCUCCGUUCUUGGAGUUGGACCAGCUCCUCCCGGGGACCUCGCCGAAAUGCGUGCGGCGAGCAGUAUUCAACACCGGGCCAGGUAACCGGCGAUUAAACAAUGAUCCACCGGCUGCUCCGAACCAAGAAAGCCAGUCUGAUCCACUCUGCCCCGCUGAUCUGGUAGGGGAAGGCAGUGGGAGGCUGCGGGGGUGGCAGGAGGCCGUUGGGACGGGGAGGGUUUUAUGGGAGUUGCGGCCGCACGGAGCUAGGCGCACCCCCACCGCACCCACCCCGGGUCUUCUGCCGACGAUGGAUUUUUCUUCAGUGUUUUAACUGCUGAAGAUGAGUGGUUUCUCCCAGUUGACCGCGUCCGGCGGCUGCCAACAGGCGUGCCACUGCAGAAAGGUCCUUAUCCGCUUGACCUGUCAGAUUUAGCGACAAAAAUUUUGGGAGAGAGACACAGGCUCCGUUGAAUGGAAGACUUGCUUGCAACAGUCGAUAUGUCUUGUUCCUACAAUUUGAUAACAUUGACAGGAGUAGUAAAUUGAUUUGCUACUGGCGUAACGGAGUUUCAGCUAGGAGUAUUUGGGUUUGCUCUAGAUUAAUACAAUCGAGAAGUAGUAUAAACCCGUUAGGAUAAGAACCUACUACCUACAUGCCAUCUAUAUAUUUUUUACGGUAGUUUUUGGAAUUGACCAACACUGGGAUGUGAUCCUUCUAUCCAGAAAGAGCAUUGUUUUAGCUUUGUCCUAUAUCAAAAAGUCCUAAGUUUGAUCAUAUUUAUUAAAAUAUACUAAUACUAUGAUAUCAAAUAAAUAUCAAUAGAUUCAUCCUAAAAUAUAUAUCUAUAUAAAUAUUGAUAGCUUGAUGUCAUAAAUAUUGAUAGUCUUUUUUACAUAUUUGGUCAAAUUUAAGAUAGUUUGAUUUUAGGACAUAUCUGAAAUAGUACUCUUUUUAAGAUAAAUGGUGUAUUGGUUAGUAAUUUCAUUAGCAAACUUAGUUUUCAACUGAGGAUAUGAGGUAACAUAGAUCUAUGACAUAAGGUUUGUAUUAUUGUAUUUAAUUAAGGAUCGUGCGGCAAGCCUCUAGUUUCGGCUUCUCCUAGGGCUCCGGCUGGAGUUCCUGUUUAGUCAAAAACAGCUCCACGCCCAGAGCACUAGAGGAGCUGGGAACUGUUUAGUCAAAAACAGCUCCACGCCCAGAGCACUAGAGGAGCUGGAGUCAUUUUGUAUGAAGAAGUUGGAGAAAAAAAGCGACUCCUUUGACUCCUUCCCAUUUUAGAAGGAGCCGGAACCCUAUCAGUGAGGCCUAAGUAUCAAAAUUUGUCUCACAUCACAGAAAAUCGUCCAUCUGCUACGUAAAUUUUCAAGUACCCGUAUCAUUUUGAAAGCAAGUAUGUCAACUUGGAUAAACCAAGUAGGAAGCCCAUGGCAGUAGUGUUUUGUUCUUUGUGAGGAGUUCACACGGUGGGCAUGUUCUCUGUGAGUUUACACUGCUGCCAAAAUACAGCUGCCCCGCUAGCAUCCUUCAAAGGAUCUCUCUCUAUCCUUCCUUUUUCUGCGAGGAUCUCUUUCCUUUCAGCAUGUUCAAAUUAUAAUUGUCUUGUCUUUGCACAUAGUUUACUCUAUCAAUUUAAACUUUUUUUUGCCGACUGCCCGUUUAAAAAGUCUAAUAGACGGUCUCAUGUAUUGACACGUAAUCGUGAAUCUGUACAGUUGGUUGUCUUUUUAAGUUGUCUCAUAGUAAUUCUAUUUCCUUAAUUUGUGCAUAGAAAAAAGAAAUAUUAUGAGUUGCACAACGACCACAACUCGUAUAAUGGUGGAGUAGUCAUCUCAUAGUUCUAAAAUCUAGCUUAUGAGACGGUUAUUUUGUGAAACAACGAUAUUUUUCUCUCUUCUCACCCUCUCUCCUCCACAUCAGCAAAAAUUCUAUGUAGCAUUACAUAAGACAACCUAUAAGACUGUUGAGGUGUAGCAAUGUAGUUGCUCUUAAGAUCAAGAUGGUUGGUCUUAAAAAUAUUUAUUGAAAUAAUUUAUAGUGUAAUAAAUUAACAAUAAAUAACAAUAAUAUAUACUUUAUUAAAUUAACAAUCUCUACCUAAUAUUAAAGUGCAGUUGUUUCUUCCAACCGCCGUGGUUGUUUUAUAAAAAAGUUUCUCAACUUUUUCGUAAUCAACCCGCAGUCCUUGAAAUAUUUUUUAACGAUUUUGCAAAAAAGGUCCCUUUAUCCAUCCGUGCCCCUACUCCUCUAAUCUCUUUUUGAGACCGUGUGCCAUCCACUCGUGCCCUCCUCCUCCAGUCCCUUUCUCUGACCUUGCGGUCCGCCGUCGCCAGCCCCCUCGCCAUCCACCGGCCGCCACCUCCGCAUGUGUGGUGCGUGCUUUCAUGGGAGGUUGCGCGUGGGGGAGAAGAGAGGUCACCGUCAGCCCCCUCGCCAUCAUCCAGCCGAACCCUUCUCCCCUCUCCACCUUCUCCUCUACCCGCCGGCCCUUCUCCUUCCCUCUCUCCACUUUCUCCUCCACCUGAUGCGCCGGCCCUUCUCCUCCAGGGCGCGAGGGCGCGGCGGCGGGAGCUCCGGGGGGGCACGGCGGCUGAAGCUUCGGGGGUGCGGCGGCAGGAGCUCCGAGGGGCGCGGCGAUCGGAGCUCUAGGGGCUCGGCGGCGGGAGCCCCACGAUGCUGGGUGUGGUGGGCCUCCAGCAGCGGCAGCUCAGCCAGAGCUCCCCGACACGUCGGCGCAGGAUGCAACGGCAGCGACGACAAGCCCGAGCAGCAAGCCAUGACGGCGACAGCGUGCGCGGGCUGCGGGCCGUGGCGGGACGGCGAACGGUGUCGGUGUUUUAGACCGGCAACCCGCCUAGGGGUACCCUAGGUGGCCUUUUAUGCGGUAAGGGUCGUCAAGAAUCAAGGAAUCAAUGGUGACGCAGGGAACACGAUUUAGACAGGUUCGGGCCGCUAGAUCGCGUAAUACCCUACGUCCUGUGUGUUGGUUUGUAUUUGAUGAACUGGAGUUGUCCUCGUGUGUUGAGGUCUUGGGUGUUGAGGUAUGACCUGCCGAGCUAGGUACCCCUGCCCUCCUUUAUAUACUCCAGGGGGUAGAGUACUAGUCGGAUUACAAGGAGGAGUCCUAGUAGGAGUACACGGGACUAGUCCUAGUCGGAUUACAGGGGAAUCCUAGUAGGAGUCUUUCUUCCUCCCUUGCAGGUACUGGGGAUGUAUCCCCGACAAGCCCCCGAGCGCUUCAUAGUCGAAUGCAGCAGUCUUCGAGUAGUCUUGAGAUAUUCGCCGAGUAGUCUUGGUGCUCUUCGAGUACUUUGUCAGGCUAAAUCUUUCAAUGCUUCUCAAAGCUGCCAUGAGGCUAUGGUGUGCUCAAAGUCUUGAUCAACAUGAUAUUGUAGUCUUUGUGUAUGGAGGGCGGCGAAAGUCGCACUCCAUAUGGAGUAGCCCCCGAGCCUUAGGUUGAAUCGUAGAAUCAGGCUGAGGGUCAAAAUCUUGAAUCUUCCUCUUUCGACUUGAAAAAAUUGAUUGUUGGGUGUAGCUUAUCAGCCCCCGAGCCUUGGAUUGAUUGAAUAAUCAACCCGAGGGUCUUGAAUCUUCACUCAGGUCAUCAUUUGUGUAGUCUUGCAGUGUCCAGCCCCCGUGCUUAUGCGCCAGGUAAGUCGUUGGAGCCACGUUGAGUGGUUUUGCGGCGUCCAGCCCCCGAGCCUGGGAGCUAGCUGAGCCAUUGGAGAUAUUAAGAGUACUGAUUGGUGCUUAGCCCCCGAGUUCAGGAACUAGCCUGUGCCGUUGGAGGCAUGCUUAGUGGGCAUCGCGACGAGCGUCGUCAUCAAAGCUUGACCUGAAAGAAAAAAUGCGUACAUUAUGUAGCAUAUUUGUAGGAUUUUGAAACUGCUGAAAUUUAUUCAGUGAUCAGUAUGAAAGUUGUGUCAUGCUCUUAUUUUGGUCAUAUUCUUCCCGAGUAGUUAGCCUGUUACAAUUAGGCCCUCAGUCUCUGGGUAGCCGUUUCCACUGCGUGUGUGAGAUCGUUGUCUCGUAUACGCGUAUAGGCUUAGGCGUGACAGAUGCGCCUGAGGCUUUCACGAGUUAAGGCGUGUUCUGCUCGAGAAGAGUAGUGACCUUAAGAGAAGACAAAAGUGAGAGGAGUCGCUGCUGCGACAAGAAAGAGACUGCACGAUUGCGAGUCAAGCUCUUGUUUCAGUCAUACUCUUCCCGAGUAGUUAGCCUAUUACGCUUAGGCUCUCAGUCUCUGGGUAGCCGUUGCCGCUGUGUGUGUGAGAUCGUUGUCUCGUAUACGCGUAUGGGCUUAGGCGUGACAGAUGUGCCUGAGGCUUUCAUGAGUUAAGGCAUGUUCUGCUCGAGAAGAGUAGUGACCUUAAGAGAAGACAAAAGUGAGAGGAGUCGUUGCUGCGACAAGAAAGAGACUGCACGAUUGCGAGUCAAGCUCUUGUUUCAGUCAUACUCUUCCCGAGUAGUUAGCCUGUUACGCUUAGGCUCUCAGUCUCUGGGUAGCCGUUGCCGCUGCAUGUGUGAGAUCGUUCUCUCGUAUACGCGUAUGGGCUUAGGCGUGACAGAUGUGCCUGAGGCUUUCACGAGUUAAGGCGUGUUCUGCUCGAGAAGAGUAGUAACCUUAAGAGAAGACAAAAGGGUAUAUUCGCUGUCAGACUUCGAGUCGUAGUUGGACCCAGAGUCGCCGUCGGACUCCAAGUUGUAGUCGGACCCGGAGUCGCCGUCGGAGUUCGAGUUCGAAUCGCGGUGGAACCCAAGGUCACCGUCGGAGUUGACGAUCUGGUGCCGGAACGAUCCGGCGCCGUCGGCGAUGCAGAGCCAGGAUCCAAAAACGAAGGUUGCGCCCGCUUCGAUAGCAAAGAUGGGUUUGAUGACGACCGUGCCAUUGAGUUCGCGCUGAGAAACUCGAUGAGUUCCCCUACCUGGCGCGCCAGCUGUCGGUGUUUUAGACCGGCAACCCGCCUAGGGGGUACCCUAGGUGGUCUUUUAUGCGGUAAGGGUCGUCGAGAAUCAAGGAAUCAAUGGUGACGCAAGGAACACGAUUUAGACAGGUUCGGACCGCUAGAUCGCGUAAUACCCUACGUCCUGUGUGUUGGUUUGUAUUUGAUGAACUGGAGUUGUCCUCGUGUGUUGAGGUCUUGGGUGUUGAGGUAUGACCUGCCGAGCUAGGUACCCCUGCCCUCCUUUAUAUACUCCAGGGGGCAGAGUACUAGUCGGAUUACAAGGAGGAGUCCUAAUAGGAGUACACCGGACUAGUCCUAGUUGGAUUAUAGGGGAAUCCUAGUAGGAGUCUUUCUUCCUCCCUUGCGGGUACUGGGGAUGUAUCCCCGACAGACGGGUCAAGGGAUGUAGGCCGCGCCAGCGGCCACGGCUGGCGGCGCUGGCGGACGGGAUUUUUUUUCUUCUUUUUGUUUUUUUGAGAUGCUUAUGGUUUGCAAUCUGGCUGUGAUAACCAAAGUCAUCACUGCCAACCUUGAUCUAACGGAUCGCAAAACCGGCGGUGAUGACGGUUAUAGGGCCGACAGUGAUAGCUCAAUCGGUAAUAGUGUUUUAGGCCAUAUUAUAGCGCUGUAACUUUUAUGAAAAAUAAUUGACGUGAUCACUUAGAUUUCAGGCUAUAUCUAUUAGACUUGGCUAUAUCUAUUGUACUUGGUGUUUGUUCCCGGUCGCUUAGUUUUUUUAAGGCCAUUUUGGUCCCUUCUUGGCGUAGCUUUUUCUUUUUCUUGGAGCUCUUUGCUUGGCAUAGCCAAUGCAGAAUUAUAAACACGUUGACGAAAAGAAGAUGCCUCUUUGCUGGAUAACAAUACUAAACAUCGUUGAAUUAAAAUAUCAAACACAGUAAUCUAUUAUACUCGUACGUUGCAUGGUAUAUUAGCAUUAAUCUAAGUAGAGGACAGCAAGGGCGCAAGGCAGGGGAAUCUAGGUAGGGCCAAGUGAGUACUGGCACUGGUAGGCAGCGAGGCUAGGCAUAAGUUCGGAUAAAAGUGAACAAAAGACACUACAUGAUUAACUCGCAUGUCGGAGUAGUAUGUUUUGUUGUUUUAGUUCUGGGAUCUGCUGUCAUGUUAUUAGGGACAGGUCUGUUUGUGCACUUACCCUAUUCAACUUAAAAGGUAUCUAUCGUAGUGGCAUUGUCACAAGGAAAAAAAAAUGAAGCACCCAACCAAUUAUUUCUUUCUACCAGAGAUGAUGAGAUAUUGAAUAUUUCUAAGAGCUACAUUGUUGCCAAUUGUAUAGUUUAUUUGCUGUACAAUUUUCACUAGUGUAGUUUGGUUAUUCAGGAUACAUGAAACCUGUUUCAGAUUUUUG
rnacentral:lncRNA from 1 species